CACACAUCAUCUAGAACAAGCAGAUAUUUCUUCCCACUAAAAAUUUUUUCCAGUCUAGACUUCAAUGCUUCUAACCCAAGAUCUUCCGAUCUAUUCCCUGUUGCAGACUCUAGAAUCUUUCCAACAGUCAUUUUCACAUCAAAAGGUUCUGAAACACACACCCAUAUUCUUGGCUCAAAUGAAUUCUUAAUCAAUUCAUCAUUCAAUAUGAUUUGAGCAAGAGUGGUCUUCCCUAAUCCUCCAAUUCCAACAAUUGAGAGGACUGAAACACACUCUUCACCAUUGGAAGACAAUACAAGUUGUGUAAUUGCCUUUUUGUCACCCUCUCUCCCAAUAACCACUUCAGGUAAAGAGGACGUAGUUUGAUCCCUCCAUACAAUACUCUCCUGAUCAGUACGAACCUCUAAAUUAAAUUUUCUGUCAGCUUCAAUAUCAGCUAGCCUCUCCCUAAUCGCCUUAACUUUAUGACCCAUUUUAAAACCAUAAACAAGUUUAUUUGAAGACGAAAAGAAGAGACUUACCUCCUUUGUCAUUCUAUUUCCAGUCAUCACUCGGCGCCUUAGGGCUUCUGUGGCGAAGUCAUCUACCAAGUCAUCAGCAUCAUAAACCACUUCUUCUAGCCUCUCAAGCCAGCCUUUCACUUGACGGUUAAGUUUCUGCUGCUCCUCAGCAUCCAGAAGAACGUUGCGAAUACUAGAAACUGUGGCCUCAAGUUUCUUAAGCUCACCUUUGACGCCCCACCACAAUCCGAUCUCAUGAAGGGCUCGAGAACCCAGCUUGGUAAUGAUAUCUAUGACAACGUUAGAGAGAACUCCGUCGGCCAUUUUGGGUGUUUUGGUUUGAUUGUAAAAGGAUGAAAUGUUGCUGUGAAGAAGAAGAUGGUGACAACAAAUGACUAAUUUAAAGAAAAAAAAAAGUGAAGGAAAAAGCAUUCUUCUAAAUAAUUAUCUUCAGUCGGUCAGCUUUGGUGGGCGGUGGUUUGCUUUAAUUUAAAAAGUAAAAUAUAUUAAUAAAUUUAUAUAUAGAAUGAAAGUAAGUUAUGUUUUUUUUAAAAUAAUUUUAUUUUUUUAUUUAAAAAAUAUUUUUUAUUAAAUAAAUUUUGAGUGAUUCAAAUCGUUAAAAAAUAUAAAAUAUAUUUUUAAUGUUAAUGAAUUUUGGUUAUUGAAAUGAAAGUAUUUUUAUAUAUUUGUAUGAUGAUAUAAAAUUAUAUCAGGUGUAACAUGUAUAAUAGAUUUAUUAUGAGUUUUAAAGAUUUUAAAUGGAUCUGAAUUUCAAUACUGUAGCGAUUUGAUUUUUGAAUCGUUAUAGAAAUAACCGGUUGAUUUUAUGAAUUCUAGUACUGUAGCGAUUCGAUUUUUAAAUCGUCAUAGGAACAAUAAUCAUUAUAGGAACAAUAGGUUGAUUUUAUUUUUUGGGUAACAGAAUCUCAAGAGUAUCCUAUUGCAUAUUAUAGAUCCAUCGAUGUUAGAGAUGUUGUGUAUGCACACAUUCAAGAUUUGGAGAUUCCUUCUCUUCUGAGGUUCUAAAGAUUGUGUCAGCAACAUUAUCCUACAUUGCACCUUUCAAAAAAGUAUGAUUUUUUUUAUAUUUUUGCAUGCUCAUUUUGAACCAGCUAUAUAAAUGCUAAGAUCUAUAAUUAUUCGGAUAAUUGAGAAAUAGUUGUUUUGAAUGAUUAAUUUGAUCAUGGAAUAUAAUCUGAGUUGCAGAUGUGGCUCUAGAUUGAAUUACUUAACAAAGUAUGAGGUAUCAAAGGAAAAAGCGAAAACUUUGGGCAUUGACUUCAUUCCUUUGGAGGUUAGUUUGAAGGACACUAUUGAAAGCUUGAAGCAGAAGGGCUUCCUCAGCAUUUGAUUUUGGCUGUUGGAUAAAAAGCAAUGCAAAUAUUACAUUGGCCUUAGCUUCCUAUUGGUGCAAGAUCUUAUUGCCCUUCAAGAUUGUCUUUAUUUGAAAAAAGUGGACCAAUACAAUUUAUAAAAUAUAUAACAAUUUGUAUAUAACUGUGUAUAAACAUAUUACAUGUGUCACUUGUUUUAGUGAUAGAUGAAGUUCGUUUCAGGUCUGAUUUAUGAGGAAAUUACUUUUUUUUUUUUUUUUAUCUGAUUUCAGGUCACAUUCCAAAGAAUAAGACACAAGAAAAAGAAAAUGUAUAAUCCACCAAUUCUGAUUUAGUUCGGUCUUUUCAAAGUAUAUUCAGAUUUCAUAGCCAAUUCAUUUAAUGCCGUAUCUGAUUUCUGGUUCUUGUGAUAUGCUCUUACAAAAUUCAUCUAAAAUUCAGUGCUCUUACACAUUCUGGAAACACAAUUUAUACAAAAACUGAUUUCUCAGGAAAAAAAAGGAAAAUAAUGUUAUUUGCAUUGAAUGAACAAAUGAUUAGCAUAGUAGCAAAACUACUUAAAAUAAGAGAAAUUAGAAACCAAAAAGCAGCACAGCAUGAGUCUGGGCAUUGCAUGUUGGAUGAUCGAAACAGAGGUCUUGAGUGCGAAUCUAGAUCCUGAAAUACGCAGGCCUGCAAAAAGUCAUUCGAAGAAGUGUGCAAAACUCCCAUCAUUCAGCUUUCUUUCUGCUUCCCGCUCAGCAGGAUUACUAUGUACUGAGACAGAUAGGAAACUUAUCCCGGUGAGUUUUUAUUCCGGGAUGUCAAGGGCACAAUGCGCAGCUUAGUGAAUCUCCAUCAUCUUUGCCACAGGUGUAAGUUAUGAAGAUAGUUGCUAGAUGGAGGAUUUUCACACUAGUGAUUAAGCAUCUGUUUCAAGCCAGAAUCAUCAUUAAAUCACAGAUUUGCUUUACAAGCAAUAACUAGAGGGAUUUCAUAUUACAAGUAGAGUCUUUAUAACCUACUGAAUCGCUUAUUUGCGAAGACAGAAGAAAAGGAGAGCUCACGUUUUGUUUUUACUGCACAAAUACUGCAUAUGGAAUCUGAGUGAGAAGUUACUCCCUAAAAAUUUCAAAAGUGUUUUUGAGAGGUACCUUUGCGCGAAUCUUCUGGCAACAGACCCAAAGAAGUCAUCCAAUAAGUAGAAAUUCUUCUAUGGAAGGCCACACACAUUAAUAGCAGUUCUUUCAAGGCGAAUUAUGCCAAGCCAAUCAAGGAAUUGCUGCCAUGGCAUGUAGUUGUGGUUUCUUAAUGUGUUCGAGUAACUUCUGCACAAGGAAUCAAAUUAAUCUUUAAAUCCGUGAAAUUAAAAGGGAUGCAGAAUUACAAAACUAAUAAUAAGAACAAUAAUAAUAAGAUGGAUAGAAGCAUGACCUGCCAAUGCAUGAUUUCGGCAAGCCUUUGCUUUGGUUCACCACUUCCCAAUGUAGUAAGAAUUUCAACAGCAUCCCAGAAUUUCAAUAGCAUCCCAAUGAUAACUCAUACUUGAUGAGCCUUGAUGGAGAAAUGAAAGUCCAGUUAAAAUUAUUCAAAAUGCAUAUCCACUCGCCAAGAACAUAUGCACCCAGAAAUCUCCUUAAAUAAAUAAGGUUUUAACAAGGUGAAUGCUUUGCUUUUUCUUUUUUUGGGAAGAACUUCAAAGUAAACAAAGGUAAGACUGUUGGGUUUUGAUGUUUACCUUGUGUGGGAGAAAUAUGAUGUUUACCCAGAAAUCACAUUUUUGUUUUCAGAAUAAAUGGUUUUUUCCACCUCUGCAUUUGACAUUGAAAAAACUUGAAUAAAUACCAAAUAAUUAAGAAAUGCUGCUGAUUUAAUUUACAAAGGAAUGGUGCAUGUGAAGAGAAAUUGACAUAUGACAAUCACAUUCAGCACAAUCAAUUCUCAUCCUAAUUUAGAAGACUAAUCAAACUAACUGCAGCAAUAACAUCUUUUCCACGAAGUCUACUAACUUCUGCACAUAGAGUCAAAAUUAAUCCGUUAUAUCCAUGAAAAGAAUGAAGGCAGAAUUACAUUAAAAAAUGAAUAAAAAUGAUGGUUAAAAGAAUGACCUGCCAAUGCAUUUAAAAUCUCUUUGAAUUUGUUUCCCACAUCCCAAUUUAUUAGAAUUUCAGGUGAGUAAAAAAAGAAAAAAAUGAUUCCUCUAGCUUGAUGAGCCUGUAUAUGUGGGAAAAAAGUGUUAAAAUAUUAUCAUAAAGCAAACAAAUUCUCAAUUACACAAAAAAUAAAAGAAAGAAAAGGUACGCUGUAUAUUGAUCUUGAUUGUAAAGAAAUAAUGACAAAAGGAUACUUACAACUCAAAGGUAAUACACUGCUCAUUUUGGAAGAAACACAUCCAACACUUCAAAACUUAUCCUUCAUUGAUCUGUGUAAAUAGAAUCAUAGAGUGAAGAUUUUCUCAUGUAAGUUUAGUUUGCAAAUUGGAGAGAAAAAGGACCAACUUACCGAAGCUUCAUCAUCCAGUAGAUAGCGGCCCUCUCUUUGAAUUCUUUGGUUAUCAACUUCAAUAUUUGGGAUGUGAGAAAUGAAAGCCCAAUCCGCACCCUUUCUAUUUCCACAUCUUUCCUUCAAUUGGGGACAGUCAUCGAUAUCCAAUUCUCGUAACGAGGUGAGGGAACGCAUCUCUUGAGGCAGACACUUUAUUGCCGGACAAAUCUCAAUGGUUAGUCUUUGAAGACAAGUGAGAUUCCGCAGUCCAUCUGGAGGUAGAGAUUCGAGCUCUUUAAUGUCCCUAAUCCAAAGGUUCUUCAAUUUAGAGAGAGGAGGAAUGAUUGAGGAAGAAGAAGAGAUUGAUGGUGUGAAUAUUUGGUGCACAAGUUGUGGGCUUGCGUGCAGCAAAUGUAGUGAAUCAUCGAGAGAUGGAAACUGAGGGAUGGACUUCAAAUUAGGGCAGUCCUCACAAACGAAAUAUGAAAGACAAGGAAAUUGGAGUAGCUCAAGAGCUGUCGAAUCAUCCUCCUUCUUCUUCUGCCAUCCUUUAAGCUUAGGACAACCAUAUAGCACGAGAGUCUUUAGGGAUGGAAAGAAUGAUGUUGGUUGUCCCUCAAUCUCCAUGUAUUCUAAAUCAUCUACUCCCCAAAUCUCUAGAUAUUGAAGAGAAGGGAUUUGAUCCAUUGGUGGGAGAUGCUGAUAUCUCUUGCAAUUCCAUAUACAGAGAUAGACAAGAUUCGUGAGGGAAGAGAACCAACUUGGGAACCUCCUGCCUCCAUAGCCAAACACAAGUAACUCUUUAAGAUUGGGAUGUGGUUGGAGAUUUUGGAAUGCCAUUUCAUCUCUAUCAACAUUUGAAUCUUCCCAACUCUCCUCCCAACGUAGUUUCAAUGAUUGAAGGAGUGGCUUCUCUUUCAAAUUAACAUUUACAAUCUCAUCAUCCACACAUCCCAGAUUUCUAAUUUCAAGACGUCCCCUCAAAUUGUUAAGCUUAUUCAAUUCAUUUAUUUUUCCAACAUCCUUUGAGGAAAUAUGCCCUUUUCCCACUACGAACAGUGACAACGUCUGAAGUGAAGUCAACUGCCCAAGCCCACGUGGCAUAUGAGUCAAAGAGUUACAACCUUCACAAUAUAAAUGCCUAAGAUUCACAAGCUUUUUAAUAUCUUUAGGCAAUUCUUUGAGCUCGUCACAAUAAGAGACAUCUAAUACUUGUAAAUUCAGCAAAUCCGUAAUAGAAUUUGAAAGUGCUUUAAGUUUCUCGUUAUCGGAAACGUCAAGAUAUCUUAGAUAUUUUAGCAUUUUUAUAGAAUUAUCCAUUAUUCUAUAUGAAUGCAUAGUAAAUACACGCAAAAAUUUUAAAUUUUUAUAAAUAAAUAGCUGAUCGACAUUAUGUUCCUCAGACAAAAGAAUCGAUCGUACUCUUUUUGCAUUGUUAAGAAUUUCUUGUGGUGCAACAACUAAAUUCAAUGCUACAUGAUGGGUUUUCUCAUCAAUAUUUGGUGCAUCAGAAUUUACUAGCUGAAUCCUCUUUCCACCCACUGUGGUUGCGAGAUCGUGCAUUAAAUCAUGCAUUUUACAGCUUUCUACAUUUCCACAUCUAUCUCUUUCCACCUCUUGAAAAAAUGACCUCCACCACAGUUUCAUAAAAUAUUCAAGCCCAAUAUCUUCAAGACAAUCACUCGUACUUGGUGAUUCAAUAAACCCUUGUGCAAUCCAAAGAUGGAUUAAUGUUUUCACAUCAAUCACAUAAUCUUUUGGAUAUAUUGCGCAAUAUGCAAAACAAUGCUUCAAAUGUGAUGGGAGAUGAUCAUAACUUAGCUUCAGUGUUGGCAUAAUAUCAUUACCAUCUUGACUUAUUCUUGAGAGUUCUUUUGUUAAAAAGGGCAACCACUCAGUUUCUGGAUUUUUCGCAUACAAGAGACUUGCUAUAGUUUUUAUUGCAAGUGGAACUCCAUGACAUUUCUUCAAAAUCUCCUUUCCCAUCUCUCUUACAUUUGCAUGUUUUGGCUCCUGCCCCUUAAGUGCUACAUGCAAAAACAAAGACCAAGACUCAUCCAGAGACAACCCUUCCAAAACAUGUGGUGCUGUUGUGCCAGAUAUAUCUGCCACCUUUUUAGAGCGAGUGGUUAUUAAUAUCUUACUUCCACUAGAGCCACCCACUAAUAAUCUCUUUAAAUUCUGCCAUUUUUCUCUAUUCUCAUUCCACACAUCAUCUAGAACAAGCAGAUAUUUCUUCCCACUAAUAAUUUUUUCCAGUCUAGACUUCAAUGCUUCUAACCCAAGAUCUUCCGAUUUAUUCCCUGUUGCAGACUCUAGAAUCUUUCCAACAGUCAUUUUCACAUCAAAAGGUUCUGAAACACACACCCAUAUUCUUGGCUCAAAUGAAUUCUUAAUCAUUUCAUCAUUCAAUAUGAUUUGAGCAAGAGUGGUCUUCCCUAAUCCUCCAAUUCCAACAAUUGAGAGGACUGAAACACACUCUUCACCAUUGGAAGACAAUACAAGUUGUGUAAUUGCCUUUUUGUCACCCUCUCUCCCAAUAACCACUUCAGGUAAAGAGGACGUAGUUUGAUCCCUCCAUACAAUACUCUCCUGAUCAGUACGAACCUCUAAAUUAAAUUUUCUGUCAGCUUCAAUAUCAGCUAGCCUCUCCCUAAUCGCCUUAACUUUAUGACCCAUUUUAAAACCAUAAACAAGUUUAUUUGAAGACGAAAAGAAGAGACUUACCUCCUUUGUCAUUCUAUUUCCAGUCAUCACUCGGCGCCUUAGGGCUUCUGUGGCGAAGUCAUCUACCAAAUCAUCAGCAUCAUAAACCACUUCUUCUAGCCUCUCAAGCCAGCAUUUCACUUGACGGUUAAGUUUCUGCUGCUCCUCAGCAUCCAGAAGAACGUUGCGAAUACUAGAAACUGUGGCCUCAAGUUUCUUAAGCUCACCUUUGACGCCCCACCACAAUCCGAUCUCAUGAAGGGCUCGAGAACCCAGCUUGGUAAUGAUAUCUCCGACAACGUUAGAGAGAACUCCGUCGGNNNNNNNNNNNNNNNNNNNNNNNNNNNNNNNNNNNNNNNNNNNNNNNNNUUUAAAUAAAAAAAAAAAAAAAGAAGUGGAGGAAAAAGCGGUCCGUUAACUUUGGACGGCGCUGGUUUGCUUUAAUUUAAAAAGUAAAAUAUAUUAAUAAAUUUAUAUAUAGAAUGAAAGUUAGUUAUUUUUUAUAAAAUAAUUUUAUUUUUUAUUAAAUAAAUUUUAUGAGUGAUUUAAAUCGUUAAAAAAUAUAAAAUAUAUUUUUGAUGUUACUAAAAUUUUGUUAUUGAAAUGAAAGUAUUUUUAUAUAUUUUGUGAUGAUGUAUAAAGUUACAUUAGGUAUAAUAUGAUGUAUAGUAAAUUUAUUAUGAGUUUUAAUGACUUUAAAUCGAUUUAAAUUUUAAUAUUGAUAGCGGUUCAAUUUCUGAAUUAUUAUCGAAAUGUAUAGCAGGAGCUCAAGAGUAUCCUGUUGCAUAUUAUAGAUCCAUCGAUAUAAAAAAUAUGGCAUAUGCACACAUUCAGGAUUUAGAGAUUCCUUCAGCUAGUGGCAGAUAUUGUUUAAUUAAAAGAGAUGUCCACUUCUCUGAGGUUUUGAAGAUUGUGUCAGCAACAUUAUCCUACAUUGCACCUUCCAAAAAACUAUGGUUUUUUUUAUAUUUUUGCAUGCUCAUGUUGGACCAGCUAUAUGAAUGGCUAAGAUAUAUAAUUAUUUGGAUAACUGAGAAAUAGUUAUUUUGAAUGAUUAAUUUGAUCAUGGAAUAUAAUCUGAGUUGCAGAUGUGGCUCUGAAUUGAAUUACUUAACAAAGUAUGAGGUAUCAAAGAAAAAAGCGAAAACUUUGGAUAUUGAUUUCAUUCCUUUGGAGGUUAGUUGAAGGACACUAUUGAAAGCUUGAAGGAGAAGAGCCUCCUCAGCAUUUGAUUUUGGCUGUCGGAUAAAAAGCAAUGCAAAUAUUACAUUGGCCUUUCAGGUUCAUUGGCUUUAGCUUUCUAUUGGUGUAAGGUAUUAUUGCCCUUCAGAAUUGUCUUUAUUUAAAAAAAGUGAACCCAUACAAUUUGUAAAAUAUAUUAAAAUUUGUAUACAGCUGUAUAUAAACAUAUUACAUGUGUCGCUUGUUUCUGGUAGAUAAAGUUCAUUUCAGGUCUGAUUUCUGAGGAAGUUGCUCUUUUUUUUUAUCUGAUUUCAAGUCUCAUUCCAAAGAAGAAGACACAAGAAAAAGAAAAUGUGUAAUCCACCAAUUCAGAUUUAGUUCAGUCUUUUCAAAGUAUAUUCAGAUUUCAUAGCCAAUUCAUUUAAUGCUGUAUCUGAUUUCUGGUUCUUGUGAUACGCUCUUACAAAAUUCAUUUAAAAUUCAGUACUCUUACACAUUUUGGAAACACAAUUUAUACAAAAACUGAUUUCUCAGGAAAAAAAAGGAAAAUAAUGUUAUUUGCAUUGAAUGAACAAAUGAUUAGCAUAGUAGCAAAACUACUUAAAAUAAGAGAAAUUAGAAACCAAAAAGCAGCACAGCAUGAGUCUGGGCAUUGCAUGUUGGAUGAUCGAAACAGAGGUCUUGAGUGCGAAUCUAGAUCCUGAAAUACGCAGGCCUGCAAAAAGUCAUUCGAAGAAGUGUGCAAAACUCCCAUCAUUCAGCUUUCUUUCUGCUUCCCGCUCAGCAGGAUUACUAUGUACUGAGACAGAUAGGAAACUUAUCCCGGUGAGUUUUUAUUCCGGGAUGUCAAGGGCACAAUGCGCAGCUUAGUGAAUCUCCAUCAUCUUUGCCACAGGUGUAAGUUAUGAAGAUAGUUGCUAGAUGGAGGAUUUUCACACUAGUGAUUAAGCAUCUGUUUCAAGCCAGAAUCAUCAUUAAAUCACAGAUUUGCUUUACAAGCAAUAACUAGAGGGAUUUCAUAUUACAAGUAGAGUCUUUAUAACCUACUGAAUCGCUUAUUUACGAAGACAGAAGAAUAGGAGAGCUCACGUUUUGUUUUUACUGCACAAAUACUGCAUAUGGAAUCUGAGUGAGAAGUUACUCCCUAAAAAUUUCAAAAGUGUUUUUGAGAGGUACCUUUGAGCGAAUCUUCUGGCAACAGACUCAAAGAAGUCAUCCAAUAAGUAGAAAUUCUUCUAUGGAAGGCCACACACAUUAAUAGCAGUUCUUUCAAGGCGAAUUAUGCCAAGCCAAUCAAGGAAUUGCUGCCAUGGCAUGUAGUUGUGGUUUCUUAAUGUGUUCGAGUAACUUCUGCACAAGGAAUCAAAUUAAUCUUUAAAUCCGUGAAAUUAAAAGGGAUGCAGAAUUACAAAACUAAUAAUAAGAACAAUAAUAAUAAGAUGGAUAGAAGCAUGACCUGCCAAUGCAUGAUUUCGGCAAGCCUUUGCUUUGGUUCACCACUUCCCAAUGUAGUAAGAAUUUCAACAGCAUCCCAGAAUUUCAAUAGCAUCCCAAUGAUAACUCAUACUUGAUGAGCCUUGAUGGAGAAAUGAAAGUCCAGUUAAAAUUAUUCAAAAUGCAUAUCCACUCGCCAAGAACAUAUGCACCCAGAAAUCUCCUUAAAUAAAUAAGGUUUUAACAAGGUGAAUGCUUUGCUUUUUCUUUUUUUGGGAAGAACUUCAAAGUAAACAAAGGUAAGACUAUUGGGUUUUGAUGUUUACCUUGUGUGGGAGAAAUGUGAUGUUUACCCAGAAAUCACAUUUUGUUUUCAGAAUAAAUGGUUUUUUCCACCUCUGCAUUUGACAUUGAAAAAACUUGAAUAAAUACCAAAUAAUUAAGAUAUGCUGCUGAUUUAAUUUACAAAGGAAUGGCGCAUGUGAAGAGAAAUUGACAUAUGACAAUCACCUUCAGCACAAUCAAUUCUCAUCCUAAUUUAGAAGACUAAUCAAACUAAUUGCAGCAAUAACAUCUUUUCCACGAAGUCUACUAACUUCUGCACAUAGAGUCAAAAUUAAUCCGUUAUAUCCAUGAAAAGAAUGAAGGCAGAAUUACAUUAAAAAAUGAAUAAAAAUGACGGUUAAAAGAAAGACCUGCCAAUGCAUUUAAAAUCUCUUUGAAUUUGUUUCCCACAUCCCAAUUUAUUAGAAUUUCAGGUGAGUAAAAAACAAAUAAAUGAUUCCUCUAGCUUGAUGAGCCUGUACAUGUGGGAAAAAAGUGUUAAAAUAUUAUCAUAAAGCAAAUAAAUUCUCAAUUAUACAAAAAAUAAAAGAAAGAAAAGGUACUCUGUAUAUUGAUCUUGAUUGUAAAGAAAUAAUGACAAAAGGUACUCUGUAUAUUGAUCUUGAUUGUAAAGAAAUAAUGACAAAAGGAUACUUACGAACUCAAAGGUAAUACACUGCUCAUUUUGGAAGAAACACAUCCAACACUUCAAAACUUAUCCUUCAUUGAUCUGUGUAAAUAGAAUCAUAGAGUGAAGAUUUUCUCAUGUAAGUUUAAUUUGCAAAUUGGAGAGAAAAAGGACCAACUUACCGAAGCUUCAUCAUCCAGUAGAUAGCGGCCCUCUCUUUGAAUUCUUUGGUCAUCAACUUCAAUAUUUGGGAUGUGAGAAAUGAAAGCCCAAUCCGCACCCUUUCUAUUUCCACAUCUUUCCUUCAAUUGGGGACGGUCAUUGAUAUUCAAUUCUCGUAACGAGGUGAGGGAACGCAUCUCUUGAGGCAGACACUUUAUUGCCGGACAAAUCUGAAUGGUUAGUCUUUGAAGACAAGUGAGAUUCCACAGUCCAUCUGGAGGUAGAGAUUCCAGCUCUUCAAUGUCCGUAAUCUGAAGGAUCUUCAAUUUAGAGAGAGGAGGAAUGAUUGAGGAAGAAGAAGAGAUUGAUGGUGUGAAUAUUUGGUGCACAAGUUGUGGGCUUGCGCAGUGCAAAUAUAGUGAAUGAUCGAGAGAUGGAAACUGAGGGAUGGAGUUCAAAUUAGGGCAGUCCCUACAAACGAAAUACGAAAGACAAGGAAAUUGGAGUAGCUCAAGAGCUGUCGAAUCAUCCUUCUUCUUCUGCAAUCCUUUAAGCUUAGGACAACCAUAUAGCACGAGAACCCUUAGGGAUGGAAAGAAUGAUGUUGCUUGUCCCUCAAUCUCAAUGUACUCUAAAUCAUCUACUUCACGAAUAUGUAGAUAUUGAAGAGAAGGGAUUUGAUCCAUUGGUGGGAGAUGCUGAUAUCUAUUGCAAUUCCGUAUACAGAGAUAGACAAGAUUCGUGAGGGAAGAGAACCAACUUGGGAACCUCCUGCCUCCAUUGCCAAGCACACGUAACUCUUUAAGAUUGGGAUGCGGUUGGAGAUUUUGGAAUGCCAUUUCAUCUCUAUCAACAUUUGAAUCUUCCCAACUCUCCUCGCAACGUAAUUCCAAUGAUUGAAGGACUGGUUUCUCUUUCAUAUUAACAUUUACAAUCUCAUUAUCCACACAACCCAGAUUUAUAAUUUCAAGACGUCCCCUCAAAUUCUUAAGCUUAUUCAGUUCAUUUAUUUUUUCAACAUCCUUUGAGGAAAUAUGCCCUUUUGCCACUACGAACAGCGACAACGUCUGAAGUGAAGUCAACUGCCCAAGCCCACGUGGCAUAUGAGUCAAAGAGUAACAACCUUCACAAUAUAAAUGCCUAAGAUUUACAAGCUUUUUAAUAUCUUUAGGCAAUUCUUUGAGCUGGACACAGUAAGAGACAUCUAAUACUUGUAAAUUCAGCAAAUCGGUAAUAGAAUGUGAAAGUGCUUUAAGUCCCUUGUUAUCGGAACGUCAAGAUAUCUUAUAUAUUUUAGCAUUUUUAAAGAAUUAUCCAUCGUUGUAUAUGAAUGCAUCAUAAAUACACGUAAAAAUUUUAAAUUUUUAUAAAUAAAUAGUUGAUCGCAAUCAUAUUUCUCAAGCAAAAGAAGCGAUCGUACUCUUUUUGCGUUAUUAAGAAUUUCUUUUGAUGCAACAUCCAAAUUCAAUGCUACAUGAUGGAUUUUCUCAUUAAUAUUUAGUAUAUCAGAAUUUACUAGCUGAAUCCUCUUCCCACCCACUGUGGUUGCGAGAUCGUGCAUUAAAUCAUGCAUUUUACAGCUCUCUACAUUUCCAUAUCUAUCUCUUUCCACUUCUUGAAAAAAUGACCUCCACCACAGUUUCAUAAAAUAUUCAAGCCUAAUAUCUUCAAGAUAAUCACUCGUACUUGGUGACUCAAUAAACCCUUGUGCAAUCCAAAGAUGGAUUAAUCUUUUCACAUCAAUCACAUAAUCUUUUGGAUAUAUUGCGCAAUAUGCAAAACAAUGCUUCAAAUGUGAUGGGAGAUGAUCAUAACUUAGCUUCAGUGUUGGCAUAAUAUCAUUACCAUCUUGACUUAUUCUUGAGAGUUCUUUUGUUAAAAAGGGCAGCCACUCAGUUUCUGGAUUUUUCGCAUACAAGAGACUUGCGAUGGUUUUUAUUGCAAGAGGAACUCUAUGACAUUUCUUCAAAAUCUCCUUUCCCAUCUCUCUUACAUUUGCAUGUUUUGGCUCCUGCCCCUCAAGUGCUACAUGCAAAAACAAAGACCAAGACUCAUCCGGAGACAACCCUUCCAAAACAUGUGGUGCCAUUGUGCUAGAUAUAUCUGCCACCUUUUUAGAGCGAGUGGUUAUUAAUAUCUUACUUCCACUAGAGCCACCCACUAAUAAUCUCUUUAAAUUCUCCCAUUUUUCUCUAUUCUCAUUCCACACAUCAUCUAGAACAAGCAGAUAUUUCUUCCCACUAAUAAUUUUUUCCAGUCUAGACUUCAAUGCUUCUAACCCAAGAUCUUCCGGUCUAUUCCCUGUUGCAGACUCUAGAAUCUUUCCAACAGUCAUUUUCACAUCAAAAGGUUCUGAAACACACACCCAUAUUCUUGGCUCAAAUGAAUUCUUAAUCAAUUCAUCAUUGAAUAUGAUUUGAGCAAGAGUGGUCUUCCCUAAUCCUCCAAUUCCAACAAUUGAGAGGACUGAAACACACUCUUCACCAUUGGAAGACAAUACAAGUUCUGUAAUUGCCUUUUUGUCACCCUCUCUCCCAAUAACCACUUCAGGUAAAGAGGACGUAGUUUGAUCCCUCCAUACAAUACUCUCCUGAUCCGUACGAAACUCUAAAUUAAAUUUUCUGUCAGCUUCAAUAUCAGCUAGCCUCUCCCUAAUCUCCUUAACUUUAUGACCCAUUUUAAAACCAUAAACAAGUUGAUUUGAAGACGAAAAGAAGAGACUUACCUCCUUUGUCAUUCUAUUUCCAGUCAUCACUCGGCGCCUUAGAGCUUCUGUGGCGAAGUCAUCUACCAAGUCAUCAGCAUCAUAAACAACUUCUUCUAGCCUCUCAAGCCAGCCUUUCACUUGACGGUUAAGUUUCUGCUGCUCCUCAGCAUCCAGAAGAACGUUGCGAAUACUAGAAACUGUGGCCUCAAGUUUCUUAAGCUCACCUUUGACGCCCCACCACAAUCCGAUCUCAUGAAGGGCUCGAGAACCCAGCUUGGUAAUGAUAUCUCCGACAACGUUAGAGAGAACUCCGUCGGCCAUUUUGGGCGUUUUGGUUUGAUUGUAAAAGGAUGAAAUGUUGCUGUGAAGAAGAAGACGGUGACAACAAAUGACUGAUUUAAAGAAAAAAAAAGAAGUGGAGGAAAAAGCAUUCUUCUAAAUGAUUAUCUUCGGUCGGUCAACUUUGAACGGCGCUGGUUUGCUUUUUAAAUAAUAUAUUAAUACAUUUAUAUAUAUACAGAUGGAAAGAAAGUUAUUUUUUAAAAAAUAAUUUUAUUUUUUAUUAGAAAUGCAUUUUUUUUAAUUAAAUUUGAUGAGUGAUUCAAAUAUUAAAAAAUAUAAAAUAUAUAUAUACAGAUGGAAAGAAAGUUAUUUUUUAAAAAAUAAUUUAAUUUUUAAUAGAAAUGUAUUUUUUUUAAUUAAAUUUGAUGAGUGAUUCAAUUAUUAAAAAAUAUAAAAUAUAUUUUCGAUAUUGCUGAGAUUAAAUUGAUGUUGUAGUCGGAAUGAAACUGUACUAUAAUUGGUUAGAAUUUAUAAGAGAGGAAAUAUGAGAUAGUGGUGGGUACCUAUAGCAGCAAGGCAGUGAUGAGUACCUAUGACAGCUACUGUGACGCUAAAGUCAGUAUUUUGAAAAAUAGAAAAAAUUUAAUGAAUAACUUAGAGUUUGAGUAGUAUCAUAGAUAAUGUACCUUUAUCUUCGUAAUCGUUCUCCUUUUAUACUAUGAGAAAAUGUAUAUAAAUAUAUCAUGAAACAACAGGGCCUAAACUGGUCCAAAUAACUUUUGGACUCACUUUUCACUUGACCCAAAAUGGUUAAUUCAGGUUAUUUAGUAGUUUCGUGCUAGCUAUUAUAUACAAUUCCAAAAUCUCCCGAUGUGGGACAGCUUUCGCAGCGGAAGCGAACAGCUGACCAUUACACUCGAUCCCGCUAAAUUUGCGACGUCCUCGUCGCAGUUGAAUUGGAUACAAUUGCUAAUUAGGACCGAACCCUUAGGUAUUGUGGUUCGCUAGUACGUCGGGCGGCUCCACCUCGUCUCACACGGGUAGCUCUUUCCUUACAGGCUCACUAGCUCUACAUAAUUUGUUUGAUCUAGAGUGGCUCUAAUACCAAUUGAAACAGUCAGGUCCAAACUUGCUCAAAUAACUUUUGGACCCACUUUCUACUUUGCCCAAAAUAGUUAAUCUAAGUUAUUUAGUAGUUUUGUGCUACCUAUUAUAUACAAUUCCGAUUUUCUAUAAUCUCCCGGUGUGGGACGGCUUCCGCAGUGGAAGCAGGUAGCUGACCGUUGCACUUGGUCCCGCUAAAUUUGCGACGUCCUCGUCGCAACUGAAUCGGAUACAAUUGCUAACCAGGAUCGAACCCUUAGGUAUUGUAGUUCGCUAGUACCUCGAGCGGCUCCACCUCGUCUCACACGGGUAGCCCUUUCCUCGUAGGCCCACUAGCACAAUUUGUAUCUAGGGUGGCUCUAAUACCAAUUGAAACAGUCGGGUCCAAACUGGCCCAAAUAACUUUUGGACCCACUUUCCACUUGUCCCAAAAUGGUUAACUCAAGUUAUUUAAUAGUUUCGUGCUAACUAUUAUAUACAAUUUCGAUUUUCUAUAAUCUCCCAAUGUGGGACAGCUUCCGCAGCGGAAACAGGUAGCUGAUCGUUAUAAUCGGUCUCGCUAAAUUUGCGAUGUCCUCGUCGCAACUGAAUUUGAUACAAUUGCUAACCAAGACCGAACCUUUAGGUACUGUGGUUCGCUAGUACCUCUGGCGGCUCCACCUCAUCUAACACGGGUAGCUCUUUCCUCGCAGGCCCACUAGCUCUGCACAAUUUGUCUAACUCAGGGUGGCUCUGAUACCAAUUAAAAUAGUCGGGCCUAACCUGCCCCCAAAGGUUUGACUUUUGAAUCUGUGAGCGGACUUUAGGCCGUCGAACCUGCUGCCGAAAGUGCCCUGUCCAGCCUUUUUCAGCUUGCUUCCUACGUGUGUUCUUCUAUGUUCUUAGGGGGUAGUUUUAAGUGUUGUAAAAGUUAUAUUUGGUUCCUCAUUUAAGUCCAUCUGUGUAGGAUCGGACUUGGAAGAUCGUAGAAACUUGCAGUAAGAUAACUGUAUCAAAAUUAGGCGUGCGUCAGCCAGAGGUGAGUAGAACUAAACUCAAUUAUUAUUUUAAAAAAACCAAAUGUUUUAAGCAUACUUAUGCAUCACAAAUGCUAUGUAUAUAUAUGAUUAUGGUGCUUUGCAUUAGAAUUCACGAAUAUAAUGCAUUGCAUAAUUUAUUAUUGUUGUUGAUGUAUGUUAGAUGACCUUCUAGCCCUCAAGUAUGUUAUGGUAUGUUAUGACGGAUAUGGAAAGAGCAGGACUUGCUCAUUCUACGCCCUUGGCACUGUGUAAGGGAAAGACCAGGGUUACACAUUUUAUAUCCGUGGCACUAUGGAUAUGUUAUUUUAUGUUUAAGAGGAAAUUCUGAAAAGCGCUUGUCGUGGGCUGGGCACUAUUGGAAUCUAUAGAGAGUCACUGGUGACAAGUCUAUCUUGAUAUGAAUUGUUUGUGUUGUGACACAUUUAUACGAUCAUAUGUCUUAUUAAACUGCUUUUGUUAUGUUUCUGCUCACUAGCCUCUUAUAGUUUAUCCCUUUUCCCUAACUCCAGAUUUGCAGGAUCAGAAUUAGCUCGAGAGGUGGGCCGAGGUGUUGGUAUAGUCCAUUGUAAUAACAUAGUUGUGGACAUGUAUUAAUUUGUGAAUUUGAAUUGUGUUUUGCGUGAGUUUUCUUUAUAAUCCUUAUUUUAUGAUUUUUUUAUGUAAAAGAUUUUAAGUCUAAAUUAUGUUUGAACUAAGCUUGAGGUGUGUAAUAUUGACUAUACUAAAACAUUUGAUGAGAGCUCUAGUAUGAAUUUAUGUUUCCAGUUCUGAUACAUGCGCAGGUCAAGUUUUUGUUAUUGAAAUAGAAGUGUUUUUACAUGUUUGUGUGAUUAUGUAUGGAUCUAUAUCAAAUGUAACAGGAUGUAUAGUAAAUUUGCUAUGAGUUCCGGCAACCUUAGAUUGAUCUGAACCGUAGUGCCGAUAGCGGUCUGAGUUGCAGAUGUGGCUCCGAAUUGAAUUAUUUAACAAAGUAUGGGGUAUCAAAGGAAAAAAGUGAAAACUUUGGGUAUUGACUUCAUUCCUUUGGAGGUUAGUCUGAAGGACACUAUUGAAAGCUUGAAGGAUAAGGGCUUCCUCAGCAUUUAAUAUUGGCUGUUGGAUAAAAAGCAAUGCAAAUAUUACAUUGGCUUUUCAGGUUCAUUGGCUUUAGCUUCCUAUUGGUGCAAGAUAUUAUUACCCUUCAGGAUUGUCUUUAUUUGAAAAAAGUGGACCAAUACAAUUUGUAAAAUACAUAACAAUUUGUAUACAACUGUAUAUAAACAUAUUACAUGUGUCACUUGUUUCACUGGUGGAUGAAGUUCAUUUCAGGUCUGAUUUCUGAGGAAGUUACUCUUUUUUUUAUCUGAUUUCAGGUCUCAUUCCAAAGAAUAAGACACAAGAAAAAGAAAAUGUGUAAUCCACCAAUUCAGAUUUAGUUCAGUCUUUUCAAAGUAUAUUCAGAUUUCAUAGCCAACUCAUUUUAUGCUGUAUCUGAUUUCUGGUUCUUGUGAUAUGCUCUUACAAAAUUCAUCUAAAAUUCAGUGCUCUUACACAUUCUGGAAACAACAAUUUAUACAAAAACUGAUUUCUCAGGGAAAAAAAGGAAAAUAAUGUUAUUUGCAUUGAAUGAACAAAUGAUUAGCAUAGUAGCAAAACUACUUAAAAUAAGAGAAAUUAGAAACAAAAAAGCAGCACAGCAUGAGUCUGGGCAUUGCAUGUUGGAUGAUCGAAACAGAGGUGUUGAGUGAGAAUCUAGAUCCUGAAAUACGCGGGCCUGCAAAAAGUCAUUCGAAGAAGUGUGCAAAACUCCCAUCAUUCAGCUUUCAUUUCUGCUUCCGGCUUAGCAGGAUUACUAUGUACUGAGUUGUUUUCUGAACUGUGACAGAUAGGAAACUUAUCCCGGUGAGAUUUUAUUCCGGAAUGUCAAGGGCACAAUGCGUAGCUUAGUGAAUCUCCAUCAUCUUUGCCGCAGGUGUAAGUUAUGAAGAUAAUUGCUAGAUGGAGGAUUUUCACACUAGUAAUUUAGCAUCUGUUUCAAGCCAGAAUCAUCAUUAAAUCACAGAUUUGCUUUACAAGCAAUAACUAGGGGGAUUUCAUAUUACAAGUAGUCUUUAUAACUUACUGAAUCGCUUAUUUUUGAAGACAGAGGAUGAGGAGAGCUCACGUUUUGUUUUUACUGCACAAAUACUGCAUAUGGAAUCUGAGUGAGGAGUUACUCUCUAAAAAUUUCAAAAGUGUUUUUGAGAGGUACCUUUGCGUGAAUCUUCUGGCAACAGACUCAAAGUAGUCAUCCAAUAAGUAGAAAUUCUUCUAUGGAAGGCCACACACAUUAAUAGCAGUUCUUUCAAGGCGAAUUAUGCCAAGCCAAUCAAGGAAUUGCUGCCAUGGCAUGUAGUUGUGGUUUCUUAAUGUGUUCGAGUAACUUCUGCACAAGGAAUCAAAUUAAUCUUUAAAUCCGUGAAAUUAAAAGGGAUGCAGAAUUACAAAACUAAUAAUAAUAACAAUAAUAAUAAGAUGGAUAGAAGCAUGACCUGCCAAUGCAUGAUUUCGGCAAGCCUUUGCAUUGGUUCACCACUUCCCAAUGUAGUAAGAAUUUCAACAGCAUCCCAGAAUUUCAAUAGCAUCCCAAUGAUAACUCAUACUUGAUGAGCCUUGAUGGAGAAAUGAAAGUCCAGUUAAAAUUAUUCAAAAUGCAUAUCCACUCGCCAAGAACAUAUGCACCCAGAAAUCUCCUUAAAUAAAUAAGGUUUUAACAAGGUGAAUGCUUUGCUUUUUCUUUUUUUGGGAAGAACUUCAAAGUUAACAAAGGUAAGACUAUUGAGUUUUGAUGUUUACCUUGUGUGGGAGAAAUAUGAUGUUUACCCAGAAAUCACAUUUUGUUUUCAGAAUAAAUGGUUUUUUCCACCUCUGCAUUUGACAUUGAAAAAACUUAAAUAAAUACCAAACAAUUAAGAUAUGCUGCUGAUUUAAUUUACAAAGGAAUGGUGCAUGUGAAGAGAAAUUGACAUAUGACAAUCACCUUCAGCACAAUCAAUUCUCAUCCUAAUUUAGAAGACUAAUCAAACUAAUUGCAACAAUAACAUCUUCUCCACGACGUCUACUACCUUCCGCACAUAGAGUCAAAAUUAAUCCGUUAUAUCCAUGAAAAGAAUGAAGGCAGAAUUACAUUAAAAAAUGAAUAAAAAUGAUGGCUAAAAGAAAGACCUGCCAAUGCAUUUAAGAUCUCUUUGAAUUUGUUUCCCACAUCCCAAUUUAUUAGAAUUUCAGGUGACUAAAAAACAAAUAAAUGAUUCCUCUAGCUUGAUGAGCCUGCAUAUGUGGGAAAAAAGUGUUAAAAUAUUAUCAUAAAGCAAAUAAAUUCUCAAUUAUAAAAAAAAAAAUAAAAGAAAAAAAAAGGUACUCUGUAUAUUGAUAUUGAUUGUAAAGAAAUAAUGACAAAAGGAUACUUACGACUCAAAGGUAAUACACUGCUCAUUUUGGAAGAAACACAUCCAACACUUCAAAACUUAUCCUUCAUUGAUCUGUGUAAAUAGAAUCAUAGAGUGAAGAUUUUCUCAUGUAAGUUUAAUUUGCAAAUUGGAGAGAAAAAGGACCAACUUACCGAAGCUUCAUCAUCCAGUAGAUAGCGGCCCUCUCUUUGAAUUCUUUGGUCAUCAACUUCAAUAUUUGGGAUGUGAGAAAUGAAAGCCCAAUCCGCACCCUCUCUAUUUCCACAUCUUUCCUUCAAUUGGGGACAGUCAUUGAUAUUCAAUUCUCGUAACGAGGUGAGGGAACGCAUCUCUUGAGGCAGACACUUUAUUGCCGGACAAAUGUCAAUGGUUAGUCUUUGAAGACAAGCGAGAUUCCGCAGUCCAUCUGGAGGUAGAGAUUCGAGCUCUUAAAUAUUUUAACAUUUUUAUAGAAUUAUCCAUCGUUCUUCUAUAUGAAUAUAUAGUAAAUACACGCAAAAAUUUUAAAUUUUUAUAAAUAAAUAGCUGAUUGACAUCAUGUUUCUUAAACAAAAGAAUCGAUCGUACUCUUUUAGCAUUGUUAAGAAUUUCUUGUGGUGCAACAUCUAAAUUCAAUGCUACAUGAUGGGUUUUCUCAUCAAUAUUUGGUGUAUUAAAAUUUACUAGCUGAAUCCUCUUCUCAUCCACUCUAGUUGCGAGAUUGUGCAUUAAAUCAUGCAUUUUACAGCUUUCGACAUUUCCACAUCUAUCUCUUUUCACCUCUUGAAAAAAUGACCUCCACCACAGUUUCAUAAAAUAUUCAAGCCCAAUAUCUUCAAGACAAUCACUGGUACCUGGUGACUCAAUAAACCCUUGUGCAACCCAAAAAUGGAUUAAUGUUUUCACAUCAAUCACAUAAUCUUUUGGAUAUAUUGCGCAAUAUGCAAAACAAUGCUUCAAAUGUGAUGGGAGAUGAUCAUAGCUUAGUUUCAGUGUUGGCAUAAUAUCAUUACCAUCUUGACUUAUUCUUGAGAGUUCUUUUCUCAAAAAGGGCAGCCACUCAGUUUCUGGAUUUUUCGCAUACAAGAGACUUGCGAUAGUUUUUAUUGCAAGAGGAACUCCAUGACAUUUCUUCAGAAUCUCCUUUCCCUUCUCUCUUACAUUUGCAUGUUUUGGCUCCUGCCCCUCAAGUGCUACAUGCAAAAACAAAGACCAAGACUCCACCACAGAUAAGCCUUCCAAAACAUGUGGUGCUAUUGUGCCAGAUAUAUCUGCCACCUUUUUAGAGCGAGUGGUUAUUAAUAUCUUACUUCCACUAGAGCCACCCACUAAUAAUCUCUUUAAAUUCUGCCAUGUUUUUCUAUUCUCAUUCCACACAUCAUCUAGAACAAGCAGAUAUUUCUUCCCACAAAUAAUUUUUUCCAGUCUAGACUUCAAUGCUUCUAACUCAAGAUCUUCCGAUUUAUUCCCUGUUGCAGACUCUAGAAUCUUUCCAACAGUCAUUUUCACAUCAAAAGGUUCUGAAACACACACCCAUAUUCUUGGCUCAAAUGAAUUCUUAAUCAAUUCAUCAUUCAAUAUGAUUUGAGCAAGAGUGGUCUUCCCUAAUCCUCCAAUUCCAACAAUUGAGAGGACUGAAACACACUCUUCACCAUUGGAAGACAAUACAAGUUCUGUAAUUGCCUUUUUGUCACCCUCUCUCCCAAUAAUCACUUCAGGUAAAGAGGACGUAGUUUGAUCCCUCCAUACAAUACUCUCCUGAUCAGUACGAACCUCUAAAUUAAAUUUUCUGUCAGCUUCAAUAUCAGCUAGCCUCUCCCUAAUCGCCUUAACUUUAUGACCCAUUUUAAAACCAUAAACAAGUUGAUUUGAAGAUGAAAAGAAGAGACUUACCUCCUUUGUCAUUCUAUUUCCAGUCAUCACUCGGCGCCUUAGAGCUUCUGUGGCGAAGUCAUCUACCAAGUCAUCAGCAUCAUAAACAACUUCUUCUAGCCUCUCAAGCCAGCCUUUCACUUGACGGUUAAGUUUCUGCUGCUCCUCGGCAUCCAGAAGAACAUUGCGAAUACUAGAAACUGUGGCCUCAAGUUUCUUAAGCUCACCUUUGACGCCCCACCACAAUCCGAUCUCAUGAAGGGCUCGAGAACCCAGCUUGGUAAUGAUAUCUCCGACAACAUUAGAGAGAACUCCGUCGGCCAUUUUGGGUGUUUUGGUUUGAUUGUAAAAGCACGAAAUGUUGCUGUGAAGAAGAAGAUGGUGACAACAAAUGACUAAUUUAAAGAAAAAAAAAAGUGAAGGAAAAAGCAUUCUUCAUAAUUAUCUUCGGUCGGUCAGCUUUUGCGGGCGCUGGUUUGCUUUAAUUUAAAAAGUAAAAUAUAUUAAUAAAUUUAUAUAUAGAAUGAAAGUAAGUUAUUUUUUUUUAAAUAAUUUUAUUUUUUUUAUUAAAAAAAUAAUUUUUAUUAAAUAAAUUUUAUGAGUGAUUCAAAUAGUUAAAAAAUAUAAAAUAUGUUUUUGAUGUUACUGAAUUUUGGUUAUUGAAAGGAAAGUAUUUUUAUAUACUUGUGUGAUGAUGUGUAGAAUUAUAUUAGGUGUAACAUAACAUAUAAUAGAUUUGUUAUGAGUUUUAAGGAUUUUAAAUCGAUUUGAAUUCUAAUACUGUAGCGAUUCGAUUUCUGAAUCGUUACGGGAACAAUGAAUUGAUUUUAUUUUUUGGGUAGCAAAAGCUUAAGAGUAUUCUGUUGCAUAUUAUAGAUCCAUCGAUGUAAGAGAUGUUGCUUAUGCAUACAUUCAAGCUUUGGAGAUUCCUUCAGCUAGUGGCAGAUAUUGUUUCAUUAAAAGAGAUGUCCACUUCUCUGAGGUUCUGAAGAUUGUGUCAGCAACAUUAUCCUACAUUGCACCUUCCAAAAAAGUAUGGUUUUUUUUUUAUAUAUUUUUGCAUGCUCAUGUUGGACCAGCUAUAUAAAUGACUAAGAUUUAUAAUUAUUUGGAUAAUUGAGAAAUAGUUGUUUUGAAUGAUUAAUUUGAUCAUGGAAUAUAAUAUGAGUUGCAGAUGUGGCUCUGGAUUGAAUUACUUAACAAAGUAUGAGGUAUCAAAGGAAAAAGCGAAAACUUUGGAUAUUGACUUCAUUCCUUUGGAGGUUAGUUUCAAGGACACUAUUGAAAGCUUGAAAGAGAAGGGUUUCCUCAGCAUUUGAUUUUGGCUGUUGGAUAAAAAGCAAUGCAAAUAUUACAUUGGCCUUUCAGGUUCAUUGGUUUUAGCUUCCUAUUGGUGCAAGAUAUUAUUGCCCUUCAGGAUUGUCUUUAUUUGAAAAGAGUGGACCAAUACAAUUUAUAAAAUAUAUAACAAUUUGUACAGAACUGUGUAUAAACAUUUUACAUGUGUCACUUGUUUCACUGGUAGAUGAAGUUCAUUUCAGGUCUGAUUUAUGAGGAAGUUACAAUUUUUUUUUUUUUAUCUGAUUCCAUGUCUCAUUCCAAAGAAUAAGACACAAGAAAAAGAAAAUAUAUAAUCCACCAAUUCUGAUUUCGUUCAGUCUUUUUAAAGUAUAUUCAGAUUUCAUAGCCAAUUCAUUUUAUGUUGUAUCUGAUUCAGGGUAUUAAAUAACGGCCGUUACGUAACGUAACGGCCGUUAUGUAACGGUAUCAAGGGGGGUCGUUACCCGUUAGGCCGUUACCCAACGGCCCCCUUGAAUUGCAUCCGUUACGGCCGUUACGUAACGGUAACGGCCGUUACCGACAGUGAUGUAACGGUAACGGCCGUUACUUUAUCCCAACACAAACUUCAGAUUACAGAGAAUAUAUUCAAAAACCAGCUAUGCAUUGAAUUUGACCACUUUUGUCCCUCUUCUCCAGCAAGCACAGCAGACAACCUCAUUUUGCAACUAAAAUUUCCAACUUUCUUUUCCUUUUCUCUCAAAUAUCUCAAUCUCAAGCUUCUCUAAACAUUUCUCAUUUACAAUUACAAGCUUCAAUCUACCAUUAACUACUUCAUUUCAAGAUAAUUUCUUUUAAAAAGUGACUUAAUAUUUCUAUGUAUUUUUACUUUCAAAGUUGCUGUAUUUUUUUUUUUAAUUUUUGUAGAUUAAAUUUGUAGUUUUGAGUUAAAAAUAUAUUUUGAGCUAUUAAUUUGUCCGAUCUAUAAAAAUUGUAUGGUUUUUGUUAGUUUAGACUAUUUUUCAGAAAUCAUUAUGAAAUUAAACUAAUUUUAGUUGCUGUAUUUUUUUUGUUUCAUUUUUGUGGAUUAAAGUGUUAGAUUUGAGUUAAAUUAAUAGUGUAUUUUUACUUUCAGAAUUUUAGAGGAAUCAGAGCUGCUGUAUUUUUUUUUUUAACUUUUGUAGAUUAAAUUUGUAGUUUUGAGUUAAAAAUAUACUUUGAGGCUAUUAAUUUGUUAGAUCUAUAAAUUGUAUGGUUUUUGUUAGUUUAGUUUAGACUAUUUUUCAGAAAUUAUUAUGAAAUUAAAUUAUUUUUAGUUGCUGUAUUUAUUUUUUUUUAAUUUUUGUGGAUUAAAGUGUUAGUUUUGAGUUAAAUUAAUAGUGAUAGAAUAAGACUUGUAGUUUGACAAUUAAAAUUUCAUAUUUAUAUAAUUUGUGUUAAAUAGAAAUUAAUAUAUGUAGUUAGGUUAAAAUUAAAAUAUUAGUUAUGAAAAAAAUAUUCGCCUUCCAUGUAUUUGACAUUUGAUAUCUUUUAAAUUUUAUGAACAAUUAUUAAAUAUUUGUAUUAAAAUGCCUCAUGGAAGUGGUUCUGGUUCUACUCAAGGGGUGGUAAACUAAGUGAUGAUAUUGGGUGGAAGUUUGCAACACCUACAGGGAAAAAAAGGAGAACUGAUUUGUAAUUUAUGUGGGAGAAAAGUCACAGAUGGAAUAACAAGAUUGAAGUUGCACUUGGCUAACAUACCUGGUCAAAUUGCAGGUUGUGAGAAAGUUUCUUCCAAAGUUAAGAAGGAUAUGGCCGCUGUCCUGAAAGAAUACCAAUUAGCUAAAAAGGAUAAAGAAAAAAGAGAAAGAGAAUUAGAAGAAGAAAUUAUGAAUAUAAAUAGAAUCGAAGAUGAUGAAGAGGAGGAGGAGGAAGAGGAUAUCGAAAUGGAAAUAGCGAGACGGGCGAGCAUGAGACAGUUGGAAGAAGAUGAAUUUAAAAGGAGAACUGGAUCUAGAUUUGAUGUUGGUGGUAGUAGCAGACAAGUGUUGGGUCGUUCUGCUACUACACGUGAGGGAGGUAGAGAAACACAAAAAUAUGCAGAAGUAUCUACACCGGCAUCUCGGUUGGCUGCCACAGAAAUUGAGAUAGAGAGAAGCAGAGCUCAACAAAAGCAGCCAAAAUAAAAAACUAAAUGGUUGAAGACACAGAAGGAGAAAAUGUUGUAAGCAUUUGGAAAUUUUAUUAUACAUAAUAGGCUUUCCUUCAGUAUUGUUGAGUCACCGUGAACAAAGCCACUUUUAAGAACAGCAGCAGAAAUCGGGGCUAAUGUAUCUCCACCUACUGCUUAUGAAAUAGCAAAAAUUUAUCUAAAAAAUGAGUACAAUGAGAUGAAAAAAUAUAUAGCCUCAUUUGAUGGAAUAUGGAAGGAGAGGGGAGUUACUAUAAUGUGUGAUGGUUAGAGUGGGCCAACACGUAUGAGUAUAGUAAAUUUCCAUGUCUAUUCAAACAGAGGAACAGUGUUCCACAAGUCUAUUGAUGCAUCCAAUGUGGAAUAUAAAGAUGGAGAACACUAUUUUAAAAUUAUGAAAGAAGUAGUGGAAGAAAUAGGGCCUAAAAAAGUUGUCCAAGUGGUAAUGGACAACGAAGCUGCCAUUAAAUUAGGAGGGAAGAAACUGAAGGAGAAAUUCCCUAAUCUAUAUUGGACUGCUUAUAGUGCUCAUUGUAUUGAUUUGAUUUUGGAAGAUAUUGGAAAGAAGAAGAGUGUGAAAAAAAUAAUUGACCAAGCCAAGGUAAUUACUCAAUUUAUUUAUAAUCAUAAUUGGGUAGUCAAUUAUAUGAAGAAAUUCACGGACAAUAGAGAUAUUAUUCGACCUGGCAUCACUAGAUUUGCCACAAACUUUAUUGCUUUAGAGUCUAUUGUCCGUUAUAGGGUGAGGCUAAGGAAUAUGUUCGAAUCGGAGCAAUGGAUGAUGAGUAAAUAUGGACAAGCAACAAGUGGUCCAGCGCAUGAAGUCAAGAAAAUUGUGCUUGGCUUAGGCAGCGAAGGAAGAAACUUUUGGGAGAAGGCACAACAAAUAAUGAAAGUUCAAGAACCUCUCUUGAAGGUUUUAAGAUUAUUUGGUGGGGAUGACAAGCUAACAAUGAGAUUUAUAUAUGAGGCAAUGGAGCGAGCGAAGUUGGCUAUUCAAAAAAAUUCUAGAAGCUAUUUGGAAUAUUGGAGAAUAAUUGAUCAUAGAUAAAAUUUUCAAUUGCAUCAUGACUUACAUGCCGCUGGUAAGAACAUUGUAUUAUAAUUUGAUAGUUUAGAAAAUUAAAUUGUUAAAUUAAGAGAUAACUUAUUAUCUAUCUUCAUAUUUUAUUUUGCAGGAUAUUUUCUAAAUCCUUAAUAUCAAUAUGGCCCAUAUGAUAUUGGAAAUGAUAAUGAGAUCGUCUCAAAAAUGUGAUUCAACAUCUAGAGGGGGAUUUAGUAAAUCAAGGAAAAACAUUAAAUAAAGUAAGUAACAACUAACAAGCUAAUUCUUAAUUGUUACUAUGUUAGUGUAGUUGAAGGCUUGAAGCUUGAAUUGUUGCUUUUGAACUUGAAGUUAACUUACUGGAAUUUGGAACAUGUAGACCCUACUUUUUCGGGACAAAAUAGAGAGUUUUGGAACAGUUUUGGCACAAAAGGCAAUUAAGUUCACUAAUCCAGGUACUAAGUUUAUAAAAUAAGUAUAAAUUAUUUUUGUUCAUUCAUUUAUAUACAGCUAAGUUCAUUAAAAUAAUAAAAACUUAAAAUAUUUUACAGCUGAGUGGUGGAUUAAUUAUAGAGAAAGUGCUCCUGAGUUGAGAAAAAUCGCUAUUAAAAUACUGAGCCAAACAACUUCAGCUUCAAACUGCGAGAGAAAUUGGAGCACAUUUUCUCACAUUCACACAAAGACAAGAAACAGAUUGAAGUAUAAAAAAUUACAUGCACUUGUCUUUGUGCACUACAACAUGAGGCUGAAAAUCAGAAAUGUGAUAAGAAAAAGCCAACAGGAGUUAGACAGGAGCUACGAUCCAAUUAAUUUGGAUUAUAUUUUUAAAGAAGAUGAUCCGUUAAACUCUUGGUUGGAGGAAAGAGAAUCUCCAUUGUUUGAUGGGCAACCAAUGUAACAGCCCGAAAACCGGUACCCCUUUGUAACGGCUCCAAACUGCUCGGCGCUAGGAUCCAGAUCGGCUUAAGGCCGCGGGACCCGUAGCAAGCCUGCUAAACUCUCUAAACAUCUGGUAUAAUCCCAUACAUGAUCAACCUAUUACUUUUCAGGCUUAACCUGAGCAAGAUCUGUAACUGAAAACUUGUCUUUUCUCUUUACCAAGCUUAACUCGUGCAUGCACUUACUACUAACUUAACCCCACUCUGGAGUCUACAAGGGCUGCUCCAAUGGAGUAACAUCUCAUUCAUUAAGCUUGGUUACCAUGAAAACGUCUUGAAAACAUUUCAAGCAAAAUGAAAACAUUUAUCUUAAAAAACUCAUGAUCAUGUACCACAUGAAGGGAUUAACCAACACUAGGCAAAGCACAUCUCUAAACCUUAUCUCAUAUACCUUUCUUAACUUUACUCUAUCACUUUACCACAUAUUCUUUCCAUUCAUAACCUUUAUAUACAUCAUGUCCUUACAUCAUGUCCACAACUGCACUAUAUAAGCAUAUAAAACAUAACAUCACUUAAUCUUUAUAUCAAUCUUGCAUAACAUAUACAUGCCACUCAAACAACACUAAGCUAUACUAUUACAUCCAAAACACUAGCCACAACAUAACUCUUGACUCUGCCACCUCUGACUUCCCAUAGCUCACUCUGAUCAAACUCUGGCCCUGCAACACUGGGGUUAAGGGAAAGGGAUGAGCUACUAGAGCCCAGUGAGUAGAAACCAUAAAACAGUUCAUUCAUUCAUUACAUGCUCUCGUGCAAUGCGUCACAGCACAAACAUAUCAUAUCUCGGAUUAGACAUGACCCCAGACACUACAAAAAUCUGUUGGAAUAGUAACGGAUAUUAGUAACGGAUUUAAAUCCGUUAUAAUUUUAUAACGGAUUAGUAACGAAUUUUAUAUUCUGUUACUAAUUUUUAUUAUUUAGUAACGGAUUGACAAUCCAUUACUAAAUCUGUUACUUAAUAAAAUUAUUUAUAAAUUUAAUAACGGAUUUUGAGAUCCGUUAUAAAUCUAUUACUAAAUUAGCUAAAAGUUAGUAACGGAUCUCAAUCCGUUAAUAAAUUUGUUACUAAAUCGGUUACUAAAUAAAUAAAUUAAAUAAAUAAAAUAGUAACGGAUUUAAUAACGGAAUGUUGUAACGGAUUUAAUCUGUUACUAUUUUUUUAAUAAAAAAAUUAAUUUUUUAUUUUUUAAAAUUUCAAAUUUUCUUUUUAAGUUAGUAACGGAUAUAAUCUGUCACUAAAUCCGUUACUGAUACGAAAAUUAGUAACAAAUUCUAUAAUCCGUUACUAAAUUUUAGAAAAUAAAAUACCGCGCUUUUAUUUUAAAUUCCUGCAUUUUUAUUUCUAAUUUAGUAACGGAAAAAAUCUGUUACUGAGUUCAUUACUAAUUUAAAAUUAGUAACGGAUUAAGAAAUCCGUUACUAAAAUUUGAAGAAUAAUACCGCCUUUUUAUUUUAGUUCGCCCGCAUUUUUUUUUUAAAUUUAGUAACGGAUUUAAUCCGUUACUAAAUCCGUUACUAAUUCGCGUAUUUAUACACUCACCCAUUUUAUCUCCCUUCACUUAUUCAUUUUCUUUCUCCCCAUUUUAUUUCCCUUCAUUUCAUUCAUCUUCUUUCUCCUCUUCUCUCAUCAUUUCUUCAUUUCUCCCUUAUCUUAUUUUUUUCUUAAUUAUUAACUCCAUUUUUUUUUCAUUUUCUUUCAUUUCCUUCAAUUUUCUCUUUAAUUUUCUUUCAUUUCCUUCAAUUUUCUCUUCAAUAUUCUUUCAUUAUUGAUCUUCCUUUUAUCACUUGAUUUUUGUUUUAUUUUCUCUCAUAUUUUUUCUUUCAUUUUUUUCUAUUUUCUUUCAUUUUCUUCUAUUUUCUUUCAUUUUCUCUUCCACUUUCUAUCAUUUUCCCUUCCUUUUUCUUUCAUUAUUCAUUCAUUUAUUUUCUUUUCUCUCAUAUAUAUACUCUAACCUUUUUUUUACAUUCUUUUGUAUAUCUUCAUUUUCUCUUUAUUUUUCUUCAUUUUUUCUUCAUCUUUCUCUCAUUUUCUUUCUUUUUUCUAUUUUUUCUUCCUUUUUUCUCAUUUUCUUUAAUUUUCCCUUUUUUCUUAUUUGCUCUUCAUUUUUAUCAUUAUUUUCUUUUAUUUUCUUUCUUUUGUUAUUUUCUCUUUUAUAUCUCAUUUUUUUUUCUAUUCUCUCACAUUUUUUCUUUUUUAAAUUUUCUCAUGUAAUUUUAUAAUAAUUUUCUCAUAAAAUUAAUAAAAUUUAAAAUAUUAAAGUUAAUAUUUAAUAUAAAAUACAAUGAAAAAAUUAAUAGUUUACCAUAAUUAAAUUAUUAUCUAAUGUAAAAUAUAAUGAAAUAAAUUAAUUCCAUUUAAAAAAAAUGAAAUAAAUUAAUAAUUUAAUAUAAUUUUUAAAAUAUUUUUUAAAAUUAACAAUAGAUUUAAUAACGAAAUAUAAAUUUAAUAUAUUUUUUUUAUUUUUUAUUUUAUCAAAUUAGUAACGGAUUAGUAACGGAUUUCUAUCCGUUACUAAAUUUAGUAACGGAUGCAAUUUAUUUAUAUAUUUUUAAUUUUUAUUAAAUUAGUAACGGAUUUGAAAUCCGUUACUAAAUUUCAUUACAAAUCCGUUACUAAAUUCGUUACUAAAUUAGUAACAGAUUGCUAAUCGGUUACUAUUGCAUUAGCAACGAGGUUCAUAGUAACGGAUGUAAAUACGUUACUAAUCUGUUACUAAACUGGUUAGUAACGGAUUUUUCAUUGAUUAGUAACGGAAAAAUCCGUUACUAAUCCGGAAAAAUCUUAUAGUGAGAACUCCCUCUGUCGGUGACCGGCCCCUAAGGAACAUCUCGGUCACUACAUGUACUAGAGCCCGGCCCCUACUACGGAGCUCCCAAAGGUCUUAUCUAGACAUAACAGGUCGCGGGCUACUGGGAUCGCCUUGGUCCAUCCCAUCAACAGUAAAAUAGUGCAAUGCAACAUAGUCGUGAUCUCUAAUGCAAUACAACCUGGUAUCACAUGGCAUUCAUGAUGCGUGUCUCAUGCUCAUACUGUCAUUUCCUUUAAAUAUUAACUUUAAAACAUGCAUAGUUAGUUCUACUCACCUGAAGCCUCUGCUCAGCUAACUCUGGGCCUACUCUAACACUGGAGCUAAACACCUCGCCUCAGGUCCGAUCCUACACAGGUGGUCUCACAUGAGGUGCCAAACAACUCUAAAACAUCUCCCCAAAACCCCUCUAAAGCAUCAUAAGCAUGCAUGGAAAAACAUGCAAAGGAAGGCAAAACAGGGCACCUUCGGCGGCACUUUCGGCGGCCGAAAGUCUCCUCCAGAGACGAAACUCGGGUAGGUUCGGCGGCACCUUCGGCGGCCGAAUGUGCAUGACAGAUCCGAAAGUCCAACUUCCGGAGGCAAGGUUAGGCAGCCGAAACCACCUCCUCAAGGGUUCGGCGGCCGAAACUCCUUUCGGCGGCCGAACCUGAGUUCCUCUAGAACUCAAAUUCAUGCACCAACACACCUCCCUAAGCCUUCCUAACUCUCUUAACAUGCAUACAACCUCUUAAAACCAUGCAUAAACCUCUAAACAUGCAUAAAGGAGCCUAAAACAACCUUAAACUCUAACACUUAACAACAUAUAACACAUAAACACAUACAUAGGCAUAAAGGGCUAUAAAACCCUCCCAUGCAAAACCAUGCAACACAUGCUUCAAAACCCCCAAAACUCUCCAUAAAACUUGCUUAAAACAUCAUAAAACAUAAGGAUCAACACUUACCUCUUGAAGAACUAGAGUUGGUGUGAUCCUAGCUUCAAAACGUGGAGAUACCAAGCUUCUAAAGCUUCAAACUCCAAAACCUUGCUCAAAGCUCACAACUCUUCAAAACAAGGAUAAAAGUCAUGAAAACCUUGAAAGAACUUGUAAAAAACCAUGAAAUCAUACCAAGGAGGACAUGAGCUCACCUUGGGUGGGAAGAGGAAGAAAACUCACCUCUUGAACCGACCUAAGUGGCUUAUAUAGGUGGCUUGGUCAACCACUUUCGGCAGCCAAACAUGCAGGCAAAACCUUCCUACGUUCAGAAGCCGAACAUGGCUUUCGGAAGCCAAAACCAUGCAACCUUCGGCGGCCGAACUUUACCUUCGGCGGCCGAACCUGCAUUUUGCCUCCUUGACCUUUUCUCUCAAAACUCAAAACCUUUUAACUUAAAACCAUCAAAACCCUUAAAACCUUUUUGAAAACCUUUUAGAAAACCUUUAUUUUACCCUUGCUUAACCCUUGACAAAGGGUCCGACAUCCGAGAUUCCACCGGACGGUAGGAAUUCCGAUGCCUGAACGAGCCGGGUAUUACAACCAAAUCCAUGGUUAGAUGAUGAAGAGGCGGGUAAUGCUCCAUCACAGUCUGAAUCUGCCACUCAAACUCAAGGACAACAAGGUGCUGCUGGUGAUGAUGAUUCUUUUAUUUUAUCCAGCUCUAGUAGUGAUGAUGAUGGUGGUGGUGGUGAUCAAGGUGGAGGAGGAACCACAGUUGAAGGAGGUGGUAGUCGUAGUUCACAAGAUCCACCUAGUCAAAGACAAAGUGGAAUUAGAAUUGCUUCUGAACCAUCUCCGAUGCGUACAUAUCAAAGAUCACAAGGCUCUCAUAGUUCUGGUACUGGUGGUGCUGAAACAUCCCAAACAAGAGGUAAGGAUGUUGCAUAUGAGGAGGAGGGGUCAAUUGAUUCAUUAAAUUAUGAAUACAAUGCUGGCACAUAUAAUCCAAAUUUUAUGUAUGGUGGUGGACGUGGACCUGGUGGUAGCUCAUCAUCUGAAGAUACUUCAUCAAAUUAUGGGUUCCAUGGCCAAUUUAGAGGGGUGCCAUAUCCAACAAAUUAUCCUCCUGCAUAUUCAUAUUACCCCUUAUCAAGAGCAGAGUCAGCUUUAUCAUACCCUCAACCAACUUAUGGUGAUCCUAAUGAUAUUAUGGGUGGUGGUUCUUUAUUUAGUUUUGAUCCACAAUAAUACUAUCAACAUCAGCAGCAUCACCUUAAUGAUCAAAGCUCAGAGAGCCAAAGUCAAGACCAACAAGAACCUGCACAAUGUUCUUUUUGGUGGUAGUGAGGUUGGUAAUUUCCUAUUUGGUAUUUAAUUUAAGCUAAAUAGUAUACAUUUGAUAUAUUUAUGUUUAUUAUAUAUUUGUAUAUAUUGUUCUGAAUUAAAUCUAUUGAUAUCAUAUCAUUUUAUGAACUUUGCAAAUUGAUUUGAAAAAUUUGCGUAGCGCCAGGCCGUUACCAUUAUGUUACGGCUGUUACAGACCUAUUUCCGUUACCCGCGACCGCGGCCGCGAUCACCAUUUAAAACCAUGAUCUGAUUUCUGGUUCUUGUUAUAUGCUCUUACAAAAUUCAUCUAAAAUUCAGUGCUCUUACACAUUCUAGAAACACAAUUUAUACAAAAACUGAUUCUCAGGAAAAAAGGGAAAAUAAUGUUAUUUGCAUUGAAUGAACAAAUGAUUAGCUUAGUAGCAAAACUACUUAAAAUCAGAGAAAUUAGAAAUAAAAAAGCAGCACAACAUGAGUCUGGGCAUUGCAUGUUGCAUGAUCGAAACAGAGGUCUUGAGCGAGAAUCUAGAUCCUGAAAUACGCAGGCCUGCAAAAAGUCAUUCGAAGAAGUGUGCAAAACUCCCAUCAUUAAGCUUUCAUUUCUGCUUCCCGCUCAGCAGGAUUACUAUGUACUGAGUUGUUUUCUGAACUGUGACAGAUAGGAAACUUGUCCCGGUGAGUUUUUAUUCCGGGAUGUCAAGGGCACAAUGCGCAGCUUAGUGAAUCUCCAUCAUCUUUGCCACAGGUGUAAGUUAUGAAGAUAGUUGCUAGAUGGAGGAUUUUCACACUAGUGAUUUAGCAUCUGUUUCAAGCCAGAAUCAUCAUUAAAUCACAGAUUUGCUUUACAAGCAAUAACUAGGGGGAUUUCAUAUUACAAGUAGAGUCUUUAUAACCUACUGAAUCGCUUAUUUGCGAAGACAGAAGAAAAGGAGAGCUCACGUUUUGUUUUUACUGCACAAAUACUGCAUAUGGAAUCUGAGUGAGAAGUUACUCCCUAAAAAUUUCAAAAGUGUUUUUGAGAGGUACCUUUGCGCGAAUCUUCUGGCAACAGACUCAAAGAAGUCAUCCAAUAAGUAGAAAUUCAUCUAUGGAAGGCCACACACAUGAAUAGCAGUUCUUUCAAGGCGAAUUAUGCCAAGCCAAUCAAGGAAUUGCUGCCAUGGCAUGUAGUUGUGUUUUCUUAAAGUGUUCGAGUAACUUCUGCACAAGGAAUCAAAUUAAUCUUUAAAUCCGUGAAAUUAAAAAGGAUGCAGAAUUACAAAACUAAUAAUAAGAACAAUAAUAAUAAGAUGGAUAGAAGCAUGACCAGCCAAUGCAUGAUUUCGGCAAGCCUUUGCUUUGGUUCACCACUUCCCAAUGUAGUAAGAAUUUCAACAGCAUCCCAGAAUUUCAAUAGCAUCCCAAUGAUAACUCAUACUUAAUGAGCCUUGAUGGAGAAAUGAAAGUCCAGUUAAAAUUAUUCAAAAUGCAUAUCCACUCGCCAAGAACAUAUGCACCCAGAAAUCUCCUUAAAUAAAUAAGGUUUUAACAAGGUGAAUGCUUUGCUUUUUUCUUUUUUUUUGGGAAGAACUUCAAAGUAAACAAAGGUAAGACUAUUGGGUUUCGAUGUUUACCUUGUGUGGGAGAAAUAUAAUGUUUACACAGAAAUCACAUUUUGUUUUCAGAAUAAAUGGAUUUUUCCACCUCUGCAUUUGACAUUGAAAAAACUUGAAUAAAUACCAAAUAAUUAAGAAAUGCUGCUGAUUUAAUUUACAAAGGAAUGGUGCCUGUGAAGAGAAAUUGACAUAUGGCAAUCACCUUCAGCACAAUCAAUUCUCAUCCUAAGUUAGAAGACUAAUCAAACUAAUUGCAGCAAUAACAUCUUUUCCACGACGUCUACUAACUUCUGCACAUAGAGUCAAAAUUAAUCCGUUAUAUCCAUGAAAAGAAUGAAGGCAGAAUUACAUUAAAAAAUGAAUAAAAAUGAUGGUUAAAAGAAUGACCUGCCAAUGCAUUUAAAAUCUCUUUGAAUUUGUUUCCCACAUCCCAAUUUAUUAGAAUUUCAGGUGAGUAAAAAAGAAAUAAAUGAUUCCUCUAGCUCGAUGAGCCUGUACAUGUGGGAAAAAAGUGUUAAAAUAUUAUCAUAAAGCAAAUAAAUUCUCAAUUAUAAAAAAAAAAAAUAAAAGAAAAAAAAGGUACUCUGUAUAUUGAUCUUGAUUGUAAAGAAAUAAUGACAAAAGGAUACUUACGAACUCAAAGGUAAUACACUGCUCAUUUUGGAAGAAACACAUCCAACACUUCAAAACUUAUCCUUCAUUGAUCUGUGUAAAUAGAAUCAUAGAGUGAAGAUUUUCUCAUGUAAGUUUAAUUUGCAAAUUGGACAGAAAAAGGACCAACUUACCGAAGCUUCAUCAUCCAGUAGAUAGCGGCCCUCUCUUUGAAUUCUUUGGUCAUCAACUUCAAUAUUUGGGAUGUGAGAAAUGAAAGCCCAAUCCGCACCCUUUCUAUUUCCACAUGUUUCCUUCAAUUGGGGACAGUCAUUGAUAUUCAAUUCUCGUAACGAGGUGAGGGAACGCAUCUCUUGAGGCAGACACUUUAUUGCCGGACAAUACACAAUGGUUAGAUUUUGAAGACAAGUGAGAUUCCGCAGUCCAUCUGGAGGUAGAGAUUCGAGCUCUUUAAUGUCCAUAAUGCAAAGGUUCUUCAAUUUAGAGAGAGGAGGAAUGAUUGAGGAAGAAGAAGAGAUUGAUGGUGUGAAUAUUUGGUGCACAAGUUGUGGGCUUGCGUGCAGCAAUUCUAGUGAAUCAUCGAGAGAUGGAAACUGAGGGAUGGAGGUCAAAUUAGGGCAGACCUCACAAGAGAAAUAUGAAAGACAAGGAAAUUGGAGUAGCUCAAGAGCUGUCGAAUCAUCCCUCUUCUUCUGCCAUCCUUUAAGCUUAGGACAAAGAUAUAGCUUGAGAGUCUUUAGGGAUGGAAAGAAUGAUGUUGGUUGUCCCUCAAUCUCCAUGUAUUUUAAAUCAUCUACUCUCGAAAUCUCUAGAUAUUGAAGAGAAGGGAUUUGAUCCAUUGGUGGGAGAUGCUGAUAUCUCUUGCAAUCGCAUAUAGAGAGAUAGACAAGAUUCGUGAGGGAAGAGAACCAACUUGGGAACCUGCUGCCUCCAUAGCCAAGCACACGUAACUCUUUAAGAUUGGGAUGUGGUUGGAGAUUUUGGAAUGCCAUUUCAUCUCUAUCAACAUUUGAAUGUUCCCAACUCUCCUCCCAACGUAAUUCCAAUGAUUGAAGGAAACUUAAUAGUCAACAGUACUCACUGUUCGUGUCAGCUUGCGAUGUGUGUCAAAGGGUGAAGCUAGAGCACCAGAAGCCGGCGGGAAUGCUUAACCCACUGCCGAUUCCAGAGUGGAAAUGGGAGAAUAUCGCUAUGGACUUCAUAGUGGGGUUACCGGCAACGUCCAACAGAUUGGACUCCAUAUGGGUGAUUGUGGACAGACUCACCAAAUCUGCUCACUUCAUCCCUGUCAGGAGUGGCUAUUCUGUGGAUAAGCUGGCGCAGGUGUAUGUGGAUGAGAUUGUCAAGCUGCAUGGGGUUCCUGUUUCUACAGUGUCUGAUAGAGGGCCCCAGUUCACCUCCAGAUUUUGGCGGAGUCUGCAGAGUGCUAUGGGUACCAGAUUGGAUUUCAGUACUGCUUUCCAUCCACAGACUGACGGACAGUCAGAGAGGACCAUCCAGACGAUAGAGGACAUGCUCAGAAUGUGUGUGCUAGAUUUUGGCGGUUCUUAGAGGCAGCAUCUACCCUUGGUGGAGUUUGCCUACAAUAACAGCUAUCAUGCUAGCAUAGGGAUGGCCACAUAUGAAGCUUUGUAUGGGAAGAAGUGCAGAUCUCCUAUCUGCUGGGAAGAAGUGGGAGAAAGGACUCUUGCGGGUCCGGAGUUAGUAGAGCUUACCAGCAGGGUAGUGCCCAUAAUCAGAGAGAGGAUCAAGACUGCUGCUAGCCGGCAGAAGAGUUAUGCAGAUAUCCGCAGAAGACAGCUAGAGUUUCAGGAGGGGGAUUUGGUUUUGCUCAAGGUGUCUCCUAUGAAAGGGGUGGUUCGUUUUGGAAAGAAGGGUAAGUUAGCUCCACGGUAUAUCGGUCCUUUUGAGGUUCUCCAGAGGGUCGGAAAUGUAUCGUACAAGCUGGACUUGAGGUUCUAGAUCACUGUGGUCUGUGGCUCGUAUGCAACCCAAAUUUCUAGUUGACACCUGCAGAGACUCAAAGAAGAUAGAAAACAAAUUAGAGUAAUUCAAAUUUAAGUUGAUUUCUUUUGUUUUUUUAAUUAAUCCUUUGCCUGAGAUCUUUCAUCCGAUUGACUAAGAAUUAUCGGCAAAACCAACGAGAAUGAUAAAAAAGGCCUUCAGUGAGUACUGUUGACUAUUAAGUUUCAGAAAUUGGGAACAUUGUUGCCUUGAUUCACUUGUGUUCUCUCAGAAGAAUUAAAUCCAAGAUGUAAAUUCCCCUUCAGUACUAAGUUAAGAUCUUCCACUUCCAUUCCCUUGUAAGUUAGGAGUUUGACAAUUGAUUUUCCAAAAACACUAUCAAAACCUUUUCUGAAAAAGGAUAUUCCUUCAGAAAUAGAGUUGAGGAAGUCAUCCAGAAUUUCAUUAUUCUUGGCAUUCUUAUUGUAAAAGGAUCGAUAUGCAUCUCUUACAUCUUCUAUAGAAAUAUCCUUUCCAGCCAGUUGCAAAAGAAACACACGAUGAAAGGCAACACCUACUUGCACUUCAUGCAUCAAUGCCAAUGCAAUCACCUUACCAGAAAAUUCAAAACAGUCGUAAUGCAAGGGUUCCAACUUCAAUUCUGCAUAUAUAAUGAAUUAAAAAAUAAUGGAUCGUUACUCUAUAAUUUCUCUUUUCUACUCCUUCCUUCUUAUAUUCUUUAACAUAUAAACAUAUCUAUAUUAGGCAUAUAUCAAUCAUUUCUCAAGAAAAGAGAAAAUCAGGUAAAGUAAUAUAUUAUUAUGGAUGCCACUGACAACAAAUUAAGAUCAAAUUAAAAAGGUAGGAUAGUGCCUGCAAGUUGAUCCAAAUGAGCGUCCAACUGCUUAUGAGCUUUUGGAUCAUCCAUUUGUGAAGGAUAGUGGCUUUUAGCAUCUUUUUUCAAAUUUAGUGAACUCCCUGAAGUUUCUUCUUUAGCCUUAAUUGUGUGAACAUACACCUCUCAUAUUGCUUUCUAAGAGAAAAAGAAAGUCUAGUUAGGUCGUUUAUGAACUUGCAAUGAGUCAAAAUCAUUUUGUAACAUCAUAUUUUAAGUUUGGUACGUGUAUGCUGUGUUUUGAGUUGUAGCUGUUGAUUCUCCUAUGCUGCGUUUGUAAAAGACCGUUAGUCCUCAAUUUUGUUUGUAAUGAGUUUUUUCGUUCUCUCGCCUCAAAUACACGACACAUCGGACUUAACCGCUCAUUUAUCCAAUGUGAAUUAUCUUCAAUUAUAUAUACUGUUUUUGGAUUAAAAUGAUGAAAAGCAGUCAUGAAUCUAUGCAAACGACUGUAUGAUUCAUAUUUAUCCCUCACUUCGACUUGUAGGGUAGCAAUUUUUAUAUAUGGCUCCUGUUCAAUUAAUGCAAAUAUAAAUGAACAAAUAAAAUUUUCAUCCAAUUGGUUAUGGUUUUUUGUCAACUGAGAAUUUGUGCAUGUGUGCAACUCACUGUAUCUCGUAAUUUUCCAUAUAUCCUCCCCUUCUUUUUUGGAUGUUUGAAGCCUCCAUGCACACCCACUUUCUUUGUCUUUACACUUUAUAGAAUAAGUCUUCUCUCUUGUUGCAUGAUAACAAAAUUGAUGAUGAUAUUUUUUUGCAGCCGCAGCCACUGCAUCUCUUGAAAAAAUAUCAUCCAAACUGAAAAUUCUUUAGAAGGAUCCCAAAAGGAACGACCUUCUGGCCUAUCAUAAGGAUCCACUCUCAGCAAAUCGAAGUCUAUUUCUGCGUAUGGGGGAUGAUGAACAACAGACACAAUAGGAUUAGGAAAUUGUGUGUUGUAAUAUCGAGACUCACUCCCACUAUCUUCCUGACCAUUAUCAUCCUCAUCAUCCUCAGAAGACAUCCAUGAAUCAUCGUCAUCGUCAUCCUCGUUGUCAUUCUCUACUGCAUCAGAUAAAUUAAUUGAUGGCCCUGUAAGACUUUUAGAUAAACCAUAAUCAUCAACUACAUUUUGCUCUUCACAUGAAUCAUCAUUUGAUUCCACAGCAGUUUCAGAUUGACCAAUAUCAGCAUCCUCAUUUGUAGUAUCAACACAACGAAGUAUCUUAACAUAUAUUUCUAUACCAAGUAUACCACCAAUUUGAUACAAGUAAUUAAACAUACUAGAUACAUCAUCUUCACCCCAUAUCUCCAUACAUUAAAUUUUAAGGAUCCAUCCACAAUUGUAGACUUUCUAAAACUAAUUGUCUAUAAAUUCAUUAUUCUCGGAUAAUCCAAUUGCACAAGCAAUUUUACCGACCAAUUGAUUAAAACUUAUCUGUAUACCCAUUGGAAUAAUCUUUGAAAAACCUCCAUCAUAAUCGUAACCAUUACAACUAUUUAUAAUAUUAUCAUCCCAAUGAAUAUUAGUAUAUACAGGAACUGUCAUUUCUCUGAUAAAAAAAAAUAGAAUAAUAAAUAAUUUGAUCUCAAUUUACUAUAUACAUAAAAAAAAUAAAAAUUUAGAAUAUAAAAUAUUUAAAACUUACCUGCGUUUCUCUUUUUGUAGUCGAAUCGAUAAGAGUAGAUAUAAUAAUUUUGUGAAAUUUGUAGAGGAGAAUAAAUAGUUUAUAGAACGCAAUUUGUUGAGAUAUAAUGCAGAUUUUGAGUAAUUUAUAGAGUAGUGGGUGAGAUAAUUUAUAGAGAGAUCGGAAAGGGGCGAGCUAAAGUGAUUUAUAGAGUGGUGAGUGGGAUCAUUUAUAGAGAGGUGUGGGAGUAGUAGCCGUUGGCUAGUUCGGCAGUGAUGGUGCCGAACUAGCCGUUGCCGAACUUAUUGCUCCGUACAUGUAGACAAAGAAGCCACGGACUGCACAGGAGGAAUUAAUUGUACAAGAAUUUGUUCCACACCAUCACUGCCGAACAAAUUUCUGUGCAAUGAACCUGCAUGCAUGCACGGUCCUGCAGGUUCAGCUCUUCGGCACUAUAAGUGCCGAAGAGUUUUCUUCUUGUGCGUGUUCGGCACCUUGUGUGCCGAACACGUCAUGCUGGCAGCCACGGGAGCAGAUUACACUGCUCCGUGGCACGGAUCAGCUUGUUCGACACCAUGAGUGUCGAACAAGCUGAAAAACAUCAUGUUCGAUACCUAUAGUGUCGAAUAAUAGGAAGUUUGUACAGCCAUAUCUUUUAGUGUACCAUAGACACAAAGUGAGCAAUUUGAACAAUUUUAGAAUUUCAAUUCAAAUGUGUAUAUAUUUUCUUGUUUUAUUUCUUCCAAAAAUCUGCAAAUGAUGUUUUAUUGUUCUUUUUCUAAACAAAUCAUGUGACCAUAUUGUAAUAAUUUUGUUCAUUUAAUUUGUACAACACAGAAACAAUCUUUUACAAACACAGCACAGAAGAAUGAAGCACAACAUACACCAACCUUAAAACAUGAUGUUACAAAAUGAGCGAUUCACUGCAAGUUCAUGAAUAAAUCUGCUACCUUUUUUUUUUUUUUUCUGAAGGAAGUAAACGUGAACAAAAGCUCAUAAAACAUUGAACAUUUGUUCACACCAUUCAAGCUGAAAAGAAAUUUGAGAAAUGCUAACAGCCAGAAUCCUUCACAAACAGAUGAUUCAAAAGCUGAGAAGCAGUAGGACGCUUUUUUGGAUCAACUUGCAGGCACUUCAUGAUAAAAUCUCGCGCAUUCUCUGACAGAGAAUAAUUAGGAAGAUGAUUUCGAAGUGUCCCUUUUUCAACCUCCAAUUCUAGAUUUGCAUCCCAAUCAUUCACAUGAGAGUAUGGAUAAUUCCCAGUUAACAUCUCCAAGACAGUGCAGCCAAGGCUCCAAAUAUCAGCUUCAACUCCAUACUCUUUGUCCUUUUUCAUAACCUCUGGAGCUAUCCAGUCUAUUGUCCCAUGGCGAGACUUCAAAAGAGGAACUAAUUCUGUCACUUUUGCCAAUCCAAAAUCUGUAAUUUUCACGCAUCCUUUCUCAUCCACUAAUAUAUUUGCACAUUUGAUGUCUCUGUGAACUACCUUUCGCUCAUGGAGAUACUUCAAACCUUCUAGUAUCUGGUUGGUGUAGUAGGAGACUUGGGAGUCUUUCAAUUUAAAACUUUUAUAUACUUGUCGGAGGGAACCUGUGCUUACAAGCUCAAGAAAAAUAUAGACCCCUGACUUAUCCUCCUCAGUACCAUAGUAUUUGACUAUAUUUGGAUGACGUAAUUGACACAAUAAAUUAACUUCUUGCUGAAUUCUGUCAAUUUCUUGCUUAAUUUUGUCUUUGAUUCGUAUUUUCUUUACCGCGAAAAAGAAACCACCAUCUGCAUAUCCCUUGUACACGUUUCCAGAAAUCCCUCCUCCCAGAGUCUUCUUACGGUCCAUUCGCCACUCUGACUUGUUAAUAUUAAGUCCUUGUCUAUUAAUCUGCAAGUUAUUCAAUAUAUUUUCAACAUUAAAAAUUAAUAGAAUUGCAGUAGUACUCCUGGUUAUGCUAAUAAAUCUCACAAGAUUUCUUCUAAAAUAUUUGCAAUACCUGCAGUAAAAUCGUGAAAUUGCUAAAAGGUCAUAGAAAAAAAGUCCAGGAACCUACAUGAUUGCUUUAGAAAGACGACAAAACAAGCAAUUUAUUAACAAAGAAGAUUUCAGCAACUCAUGUAUUGUAUUUGAAAUUAGUCUUCGUAGCUGGAUAAGUACUGAAAACAUAUAGGAAACAACAGUUAUGUUAUGAUAACACUGAAAUUUUUGUAAGCGCGUACCUUCAGGAACUGAGACAUCAGAGGAUCACUCGCAUGUGUUAUCUCUCCAGAAAUAAAUUCAAGAUUUAAUUUUCCCUUUAGCACCAGGUUAAGAUCUUCAAGUUCUAUGCCCUUGAAAGAUAGCAGUUGGACGAUUGAUUUUCCAAAAACACUAUCAAAGCCUUUUCUGAAAAAGGAUAUUUGUUCAGAGAUAGAGUUGACUAAGUCAUUCCGAAUUUGAUCAUCAUCAAGAAAACAUUCCUUGGCCUUCUUAUUGUAAAAAGAAGGAUAUGCAUCUUUUACAUCUCCUAUAGAAAUAUCCUUUUCCGCCAGUUGAAAAAGAAACAUACGGUGAAAGGCAACACCUAUUUGUAGUUCAUGCAUCACUGCCAAUGCAAUCACCUUGCCAGAAAAUUCAAAACAGUCGAAGUGCAAUGGUUCCAGCUUCAGUUCUGCAUAUAUAACAUAUGACCAAAAACGGAAAAAGAAAAACUAUACUUAAAACGGGAUAUUAAUAAAUUUAAGAUAAAAAGGAUUUUUAUGGCAUAUUUCUCGUAUUAAAUGUAUUUUUAUUGGUUUACAUUAUGAUUAAAUUUAAAAAAUUUGCAGUUUUUUUUAAUAUGGAAAAAAUGUAAAAUCUAGAAAAAAAAAUAAUCGGAAUUAGUAGUCUUAGAAUCUAUUUGUACAAAAAUAAAAGAUAGAUUUAAUUUUUCGAGUGAUCUGAUCAUGCGGGGUAGUACAAGAAUAUUCACCUGUUGUCCAUCGACUACGCCCUUCAGCCUGAUCUUAGGCCUUGACUCACUUUUCGUGGACGAACCUUGCGGAGGAACCCUUAUAUCACAUGUUUCGUGAAUUUACAUAUAAUUUAGGUAAAAGUCAGAGAUGACAACUUAUUAGUAAAACUUUUUAUUGUACAUAUUAAUAAAUAUAAAUAAUCUUUUUAUUAUGCAUUUUGCGUCGAAUGUGUACGGUCAAUUUAUGCCAUCAUCUAUUAACUAUCUGUCAUACCCUAAAUACUUUCAUAUCUUAUUGUUUUAAUACCUAAUCGUAUUGUCUCACAUGUACAUAGCUAGCCGAAAGGAAUGAGAAGAAAAACUUAAAAAUCUUAUGCCAAGUCCAAUAUUGUAUGCUACAUGUCGUAAAUUAAUUAUAUGAUGAAGUUGUGACAUAAGGGUUAUAUCAAUCAUUUAUCAAGGGGAAAAAAAAAAUAGGAGAAGCAAUAAUUACGGAUGCUAUUCAUAGGAUCUUACCAGGAUUAGGGUAGAACUUCGUAGGAUCAUUUGGGCACGCCAAGAAAAGCAGAUUUUGCGGUUUGAAUAUAACUUGGCAUAACUUGUAUAACCAAUCCUGCAACUUUUUAGGACUGGUGAGCUUCUUAUUUUUCAAUGCUUCAAACAUCUCUUCGUCCAGAAAUCUAGACCAGUGAAUGAGUGGCUUGUAGAACUCUGCAUCAAGUAAUUUUUCCUCGGGGAUCAUCAUCAUGGUGACUAAGUGCAUCCUGGAUUCAGAAUCAAUCACAUCAUUGUGCUCAAGCAGCCAGUGAUAAUCAUCUUCUCUAGUAGUUGUUUCAAGUAUCAGUCGUAAUGAACUCUGCUGCCUCUUCAAUAAAAGCCGAAACUGCUCCCUUUCACUCUCCCAUAGUUGAGAAAUGCUAUUCAAUUCUUUCAAAAUGUCCAGAUAUAAAUGCGAAACAGAACACAAACAACCACUUGUUUCGAAUAGUUCUGCUGUUAAUAGUAAACCAUGAAGAUGACCCUCCAUGUCUGUAGACAGGUGAUUGAAUGCUUCUUUAGUUGGGACUGAAAACCAUGUCAAUGUUUCUUCAUCGUCACCGUCUAUAUAGCCAAUUGCAUUGCGCACUACACAUGAAAAUGCCUGAAAUUCACCAAAAAGAAAUUUCAAUGAAUCAAUGUGUGAACUUGGAUUUGAUACGCGGAUCUGAACCAAACCCUUGCAUAAUGUGCUUGUCAUCUCAUAAAGGAAAGAACAAAUUGUCAGCACUGUUUCUGGCUCCUCAAAGAGUUUGAUCUUAAAUCUACUUCUUUCCACCAACUGUUUGAGAGAAGUCCGACAUGACUGAUACAGAGGAUCUUCAUUAGUUACUUGAUGUCGAAGUAAUUUACAGAAUUCUAAAGCCAAUAGUCUACAUUCUGGAAGAAAAUCAUCUGGACGAUUCAAUAAAUAAUGCAUGGAAGACAAUAUCAAAGCUCUAGCAUAGGCUUUCUGUUGUUUAAUUCUUGACCUGUAAAACAUAACCAAAGUCGCAGGGACAGAAUACGCAAUCAGAAGAAGCUCUGAUUGCUCGUUUCUUUCAGGUGCCAACAGUGCAAACAUCUUAUGCGCUAGUGGACAGUAAUCUAUCCGCGAGACAGAUUUCUCUCGGUACAUUCGACAAAUGGUCGAACUGAUUUGGUGGAUCAUUUGAAAAAGUUCCGAUUCGCCGUCGAGUUCAACCACCAAUUUGAGCCAAGCUUUGUUUUGAAUUGAGCAGUCUUCAAGCGUCUUAUUCCACUCUAGCUUCUCACCUUUGUAAUAUAAUUUCUGUUGCGUAACUGGAAUUUUGGAGAUCACCAGGAUUUUCUGCUGGAUAAAUUGUACUUCAAAAUUGGAUUUCACAAGAAUUUUUAUAGGUUUACGUUUCGGCAUUCUGACAAAUAAAUGAAAGGAAUUGGAUUCACUAUUCGCCAUCAGCUCUAGAUCACUGUGGUCUGUGGCUCGUAUGCAACCCAAAUUUCUAGUUGACACCUGCAGAGACUCAAAGAAGAUAGAAAACAAAUUAGAGUAAUUCAAAUUUAAGUUGAUUUCUUUUGUUUUUUUAAUUAAUCCUUUGCCUGAGAUCUUUCAUCCGAUUGACUAAGAAUUAUCGGCAAAACCAACGAGAAUGAUAAAAAAGGCCUUCAGUGAGUACUGUUGACUAUUAACUCUUCAGUGAGUACUGUUGACUAUUAAGUUUCCAACAUCCUUUGAGGAAAUAUGCCCUUUUGCCACUACGAACAGUGACAACGUCUGAAGUGAACUCAACUGCCCAAGCCCACGUGGCAUAUGAGUCAAAGAGAAACAACCUUGACAAUACAAAUGCCUAAGAUUCACAAGCUUUUUAAUAUCUUUAGGCAAUUCUUUGAGGUUGUAACAAGAAGAGACAUUUAAUACUUGUAAAUUCAGCAAAUCCGUAAUAGAAUUUGGAAGUGCUAUAAGACUCUCUAUAUUAGAAACAUUAAGAUAUCUUAAAUAUUUUAGCAUUUUUAUAGAGCUAUCCAUCAUAUUUAUUCCACAUGAAUACAUCCUAAAUACACGCAAAAAUUUUAAAUUAUGCAAAAAUUUUAAAUUUUUAUGAAUAAAUAGCCAAUCAUGAUCAUGUUUCCUAAGCAGACCAUGAUCAUGUUUCCUAUUCAGAAAUAACGAUCGUAUUCUUUUUGCGUUAUUAAGAAUUUCUUGUGGUGCAACAUCAAAAUUCAACGCUACAUGAUGGGUUUUCUCAUCAAUAUUUGGUGCAUCAGAAUUUAUCAGCUGAAUUCUCUUUCCACCCACUGUGGUUGCGAGAUCGUGCAUUAAAUCAUGCAUUUUACAGCUUUCAACAUUUCCACAUCUAUCUCUUUCCACCUCUUGAAAAAAUGACCUCCACCACAGUUUCAUAAAAUAUUCAAGCCCAAUAUCUUCAAGACAAUCACUCGUACUUGGUGACUCAAUAAACCCUUGUGCAAUCCAAAGAUGGAUUAAUAUUUUCACAUUAAUCACAGAAUCUUUUAGAUAUAUUGCGCAAUAUGCAAAACAAUGCUUCAAAUGUGAUGGGAGAUGAUCAUAACUUAGCUUCAGUGUUGGCAUAAUAUCAUUACCAUCUUGACUUAUUCUUGAGAGUUCUUUUGUUAAAAAGGGCAGCCACUCAGUUUGUGGAUUUUUCGCAUACAAGAGACUUGCAAUAGUUUUUAUUGCAAGAGGAACUCCACGACAUUUCUUCAAAAUCUCCUUUCCCAUCUCUCUUACAUUUGCAUGUUUUGGCUCCUGCCCCUCAAGUGCUACAUGCAAAAACAAAGACCAAGACUCAUCCGGAGACAACCCUUCCAAAACAUGUGGUGCCAUUGUGCUAGACAUAUCUGCCACCUUUUUAGAGCGAGUGGUUAUUAAUAUCUUACUUCCACUAGAGCCACCCACUAAUAAUCUCUUUAAAUUCUCCCAUUUUUCUCUAUUCUCAUUCCACACAUCAUCUAGAACAAGCAGAUAUUUCUUCCCACUAAUAAUUUUUUCCAGUCUAGACUUCAAUGCUUCUAACCCAAGAUCUUCCGAUCUAUUCCCUGUUGCAGACUCUAGAAUCUUUCCAACAGUCAUUUUCACAUCAAAAGGUUCUGAAACACACACCCAUAUUCUUGGCUCAAAUGAAUUCUUAAUCAAUUCAUCAUUGAAUAUGAUUUGAGCAAGAGUGGUCUUCCCUAAUCCUCCAAUUCCAACAAUUGAGAGGACUGAAACACACUCUUCACCAUUGGAAGACAAUACAAGUUCUGUAAUUGCCUUUUUGUCACCCUCUCUCCCAAUAAUCACUUCAGGUAAAGAGGACGUAGUUUGAUCCCUCCAUACAAUACUCUCCUGAUCAGUACGAACCUCUAAAUUAAAUUUUCUGUCAGCUUCAAUAUCAGCUAGCCUCUCCCUAAUCGCCUUAACUUUAUGACCCAUUUUAAAACCAUAAACAAGUUGAUUUGAAGACGAAAAGAAGAGACUUACCUCCUUUGUCAUUCUAUUUCCAGUCAUCACUCGGCGCCUUAGAGCUUCUGUGGCGAAGUCAUCUACCAAGUCAUCAGCAUCAUAAACAACUUCUUCUAGCCUCUCAAGCCAGCCUUUCACUUGACGGUUAAGUUUCUGCUGCUCCUCAGCAUCCAGAAGAACGUUGCGAAUACUAGAAACUGUGGCCUCAAGUUUCUUAAGCUCACCUUUGACGCCCCACCACAAUCCGAUCUCAUGAAGGGCUCGAGAACCCAGCUUGGUAAUGAUAUCUCUGACAACGUUAGAGAGAACUCCGUCGGCCAUUUUGGGUGUUUUGGUUUGGUUGUAAAAGGAUGAAAUGUUGCUGUGAAGAAGAAGAUACCGACAACAAAUGACUAAUUUAAAGAAAAAAAGAAGCGGAGGAAAAAGCAUCUUCUAAAUGAUUAUGUUCGGUCGGUCAGCUUUUUGGAGGGCC
rnacentral:lncRNA from 1 species